UUUUUUUUUUGCUCGUGAAUUGGAGUUUGUUCUCGCGAGGAAAAAUAUACUUUUCUCGAUUAGAUGUUUUUUCCUUCUUUACUAAUAUGUUUUAAAUUCAUGGACUUUAUUUAAUGGGAUUUGCUAAUUCUCAUCGACAUGACAUCUGGCAAUGUCUUAUAUAAGUUUCUGAUCGUUCGAUCUGUUUGUCUUAAAUGUUGUACAAAUCUUGAUUGUGGGUUGUUUUGUCCUGCGCGUCUGCCCUUUCGUGCAUGCAUCUUUCCUUGGGCAAUUUUCGCUGCGUGAUUAGCCGUUUAAAUUUGUUUAUUCUUAUUUUGGCCUGCGUUGUAUAAAUUGGAGAGCCGAACAGUUGGGGGGCUGUUUGCUUAUUUGUUUUUCAUGUUCUAGUGAAGGAUGUUAUUUAUUUAUAUUUUCUAUUUUCCAUUUAUUUCAUUUCUUUUUAUUUUUCAUUUGACUUUCCCUUUUUUUUCUUUUACUUGUCUUUCCUAAAUUCAAGAACCUUUUUUCAUUCUGCCAUCUGUUCACUUUAAAUGUCAUCAAAAAAUUGAUCUUGUCGUUUUUUCGAGCGAGACCCGUGCGUUUGGUAUCUACUUGUCAGCCCAUUCGCCCGUGCGUCUUUUGUUGUCCCUCGUGAAGCAUUGAGGCCCGAUAGGACUUUCCUUAGUGAGCCGCUUUAAUAUCUAAGUCUAGGGCUGUCGGAUUUUAUUUUCCGUUUAAGAUUCAUGCAGCUUUUUUCUUUUGAGAAGAAAGAUCCACGCAGCUUGUUCGGCUCGCUCGCAGUCGCUGGCGUCGCGCGCGGCAGCCCGUGUCCUGUGUAGGUCCCGCCUGCCUGUUGUGGGCUUUUUUGUUUUACUAGGAAAAUUGCUCGUGCGUUGCAUCAGGUGAUACCAUGGUAAAAUGUUGUCAGUUCUCAAAAAAUAAUGUUGUCAAAGCAGUGAAAAGGAAAAAGACAGGAACUAUAUGUGUUUUACUUCCUUAGUGUGUUCGGGUUCAUGCCCUACAUCGCGUACAUCCACGUGCAACGUGUGUCUCAUUGCCUAAUAUCGGAUCCGCCUCAACCCCACCAGGAAGUCCGGCUGUCCACCAUCACCAUGAAGGCCCAACACGGUGGCAAGGUGCAGCAGCCUCGGUGAGGGCGUGGCGUACAGGAUGCCAAAUGCAUUUGAGAAGGUCAAGCCACCGACCAGGCGCCGAUAUCGCCCUCAGCCUCAUACUUCUCCUCCACCCAGCGAUUGGCCUAGGGACCACUCGAGCACGCAUCGGAGUGAAGCGGGCAUCCCAAUUCUGCCUAGGAGGGUAUGUUUGCCCACAUUGGUGUGAGGCGGGCGUCCUUAGCAAGGUGGUGUGUCUUGCUUCUCUACGUUAGGACCGGCGAGUCAAGAGAGCUGGGCUUCUUCCCGAUGGCAUAGUCAUUGACAGACAUCCUGGUGCUUCGCCCACCCAUGAUUUCGUGCUUCGCGCGUAAAGACAUAGAUAUAUAGCUAGAGAUUCUCUUUAUCUCAGAAUCUGAAGGUACAAUGCAUAAUUGACUGGUGUAUGUAAGCUAUUUACCACUUAAUGUUUUGAUGUGUACGUGAGCUAGUGUAAGAGCUAAGGUUUCAUCUCCUUAACAAAUGAACACUACUUCAAUUCGAGCUACCGAACUAUGGCAUCAACUUGAAUUGCACAUCAGAAGAAAACGGAUUAGUCCCAACUAUCAUAGAAAAUUGUAUUCCCCAUCAUUGAUUUGAAGUUUUCCGACAAAUGGUAAUGGAGCUGAGCAUCAUCAAAAUACAAGUUACGAUUAUGUUCAGAGGUCAUGAAUCUAAAUAAAACGCACAUUGAAAAUUGUACAAGUUCACGGUUGCUACCAUUGACAUAUAUCAUCGGCAUACUAUACAUGGAAGGCAUAUGAGUUUAGAGAAGAUAAUAUUAUGAUAGACUGCUAGCAGUCGUUUGACUCGUGUUUUAGCUGAUCAAAGGGAAAUUUUCACCAGAGAGAGCCAAUGAUCAUUGCUUUAUUAGACCAGUCGCUAAGAUGAUAUUUUGAGCAGUGUCCACGCAGGUUGGGGUCGGGCCGGCGCUUUGAGGAUAUGACCUCCAUGGCUGCGAGGCAUGGAGCCCGGGCAACGACGGGACGCGCAGGUCAGGGCUAGUGUGUGCUCGAAGGACUGGGUCUCCAUGUAUUGGCGCACGGUCAGAGACGUAGACGGCGAUGUAGGGAGACAAUAGCAAUGGCAAAGCAUGGAGGGAGGGGCCAGCUCAACAAGAUUGUAGAGAGUUCUGUUAAGAGCCGGUUAUUUCCAUGUAAUAUAAAUAUAUAAACCAUCAUUUGUUGCAGGAGAAGUAGAAUGGAAGUUUGGCAUUCGUUGCCUCUUCUCUCCUCUGUUCUCUCUUGUUCAGUUAACUCGGUGUGGACUGAAAGAGGUUACUCUGUUUUCUCUCCUCGGUUGUCCCAGAUUCACUUCGUGUGUAUUGGUGAGUCCAUUGACCUGAAUAGGGAGCAGGCCCGCGGCUACCAUUUAUCGGUCAUCCAAACCCUUCCACCCAUAAAUAAAGCACAUGAAACGGAAGAUAAAGUGUACUACUACUAAUUAUGAAUGGAUCAAAAUCAUGAGACAAACAGAGAAAGUCACAAAAAUAUAAUGGUGCUGAGACAAACGGUGAUUUAACAGCUGAGCGAUCGCUUGCCUUCGGGUCAAUGCGAACAAUGCCCAGCCGCCAUCACACUUGUGUCACCUAGACAUCACUGUCGUGCCGUCUGACUGCUCUCCCAGGUCACUCCUCUCUCGAUCUCGAUCUACCGAGCCGAGCCCCAAGACUUGAAAGCCUGCGGCCAGUUUGGGUCGAAGCCAAAUCUGAAAGCAUCCAUCGCUGGAUCCUCUUCUCCGGUUCAUAGACAAAUAAUUUGCUCUGAUCCAAGUUGUAGAUGAAUCAGUCUUUUUCUUAAGAAAACAAAGCAGGUACGCUGAUUCAAGGGGAUAGACCGACGUGUGCGGAAGAGGCAGCGGGGGCCGGGAACUGUUGCAAGAGGUGGUGCAGCAGUGAAAGGUUGGCUUGAUGGCGAACAGACCUCCUCUUCUUCUACUUCAUGGCAUGAUUCCAAUCCACCAUAGUGCCGCUGCGGACAUAAGAAAACCAAAAGAAGAAGAUUAUCAGAUCCUAUAACGUCGAGACGGGCGGCUAGCAUGCUCGUACCCUGCAAUGUUCAACCUAUCCGCCGGCGGCUUCCUCACCCUCCUCCUUGGAUCUGCAAAUCACGUUGUGUGCUGGACGGCUCUACUCCGUUUGGAGAUGGAGACGGACAACUGAAUUCGAAUUAAAUUAGUGGGGAAAACAUGCAUGAUUAUCACGAUCGGUUCAGACGACCUUGCGGAGGAAGGCUUGGGUGGAGGAGCCGGCUUCUGUGGACAGCACACGCUUGGUCGAUGGGGCAGUGCCCAACCGGACCAUCUCGGGAAGAUGCAGGGAGAUGGGAGCGGCAACGCGGCGGGGCUGUUUUGCUAGAUUUAGCGCUCUAUGUGGGUGGGGCGUCGAGGAGCAGAGCAGAGGGCCCCGGAUCUUGAGCCGGUGGAGGGGCUGGGCGGGCCGCAUCUUGAGUUGAGAUGCCAGGAUGCACAUCCGUCCUUGAUUAUCGCCGGCGUCGUCUAGAGGUCGAGCGCCCUGCCCACGGGCCUUGGUAGCGGGAGGAGAGAGCACAUCCCCGUCGGCCUGUUCGCUAUACUCUGUCCAUCCCCUCCUGAUUCCUAGAUCUGUCCCGUGCCUGGGGCGAGGUGGCCGGUGCUGGCGGCAGCGGCAGCGGCAGCGAACAUGCGUGGGAGGAAGGAUUUGUGCGGGCCUGUUUCAAGAGGAGGGUAGGAUUCGUUGGCAUAAAAGACGGCGGGGGAAGGAGGACUUGUGUUUGGUUUGGACUUUGGAGACGGGUGUCGUACGGACGGCAGGAGGAAACGUUUCUUUGUUAAUCCUGGACAGAAACAUAUUUUCUUAGGCAAAGCCAACUCAAAAAAGAAAGAUGACGAUGAACUCAACAAAGUCAAUCCGUGCUUUAUUAUAUAAAAUAAUAUAUAUAUAUAUAUAUAUAUAUAUAUAUAUAUAUAUAUAUAUAUAUGUAUGUAAAUUAACUGGGGCACCUAGGUGCUUGGGCACCUAGGGCAUCAGCCGUUAGAUCAACUCAUCAUCCUAUCGAGAUAUAUCGGGUUUACAACUGCCCAACCCACAACCCGUUAAAAUCAUUAAAUACAUUGGCAAGCACACGAAUUUGGACGGGUUUUCAAAAAUAUUGCAUGCGGAUAAAUUAAUACCUAUCAUAAUGUUUCGCAUUAUUGUGAUGCUAUUUAAUUCGACCGUUUCCAAAAAUAAAAGUUGCACUCUAAUUUGAUUGCUUUCCAUAAUAUUAAAAAUUAGCCAGUCAUGAUUCACACCUUUCAAAAAUAUUGCAUGCGGAUAAAUUAGUACAUAUCAUAAUGUUUCGCAUUAUUCUGAUGCUAUUUAAUUCGGCCGUUUCCAAAAAUAAAAGUUGCACUCUAAUUUGAUUGCUUACCAAAAAAAGGGGCUCAUGCACUGCCAUAAUUUGGCCGAGGAAUUAAAGCGGGAGGAAAUCAAAGCAUCCGGCAUGCAUUACAUACCUAUACGUGAUCCACUCUCCCUGAUUCAUUUCCUACAUGCGCACACCCGGCUGAUUUGACCUCUCCUUUGUCAGUCUUCCCCAAAAGCAUACCCAGAUCAUCAUCGGUCCAUCGUUAAUCUUCAGACGAGCAUACCCAGGUGACGUCCCCCCUUCGUUUAGCUUGGCCAUGGUAGCCAGUGUCACCUUCGUGGUCGCCGACUGUGGUCGUUUUUCUCCAUCACAGCUAUAGCAAUUUACAUAUUUCUUUUCCAUUUAUAGGUAUAUUCAUGCCUAGGUUACAGAGGUGUGCUACCGCAAGAAGAAAGAAAAUUCUUGGGGUUGGUCGUGGCAAUAUGGCUGCAGCUGCAGACCACGAUGACGACUUCAUGGAGCCACCGGUCAGGUCGUCAUCACUUCCCGUAAAAUAUGUAGCGCCGAUUUCUAGAUGCACACCCAUUUCAAUUUCGUCCAUCGUGAACGAUUUUAAGGAUGAAAAGAAACGCUUAGUCAGGGAGAUGAAGUUUGAUGGAAUUUUGAAACUACCAGAAAUCACAAACUCUCGUGAAUUUAGUCACAACCUUCUAUCUAGGGUAUCCACUGAAGAUAUAGCAAUUAGAAUGGGUGAUGGAUCUCUUCUCUACUUCACUGAUGGUGAUGUUCACAAAGUUCUGGGUAUCCCAUUCACGGGAAAGGAGUUGCGAAUUCCUUCCAUGGAAGAAAUCAAUCACAUCAAAAAUAUAAUAUGCAUCCGACUGAACGUCCCGGAGUUUAAAAAAAUCACGAGAACUGUACUAACUGAUAUUCUAAGCAAGAAACAUGAAGCACCAAUGUCGGAUGAUGAAGUUGCUGCCUUCAAGACUGCAUUCAUUCUACUUGUGAUGACCAAAUUCCUUGCGCCACAAACUUUGUUGGACAAUAUAUGUCCGAGGUAUUUUAUGGCGCUCAAGAAUUUGGAUGACAUACAUAAUUGGAACUGGGCAAGGUAUGUCGUUAAUGACAUUAUAGCAGCAGCGCAGGCAUUGGCCAACAAGCUCACUGAUGAAACAAAAGCCACCUAUAUAAAUGGAUGUGUCAUAUUUCUGCAGGUAUUUACAUUCUACAUUCAGAUAUUCUACUCUGUACAAACAGCUUGCAUGUAAUUCCAGUUAAUACUUACAUUCUACAUUCAGAUAUUCUACUUGGACAACCUGGAAUUGGGUCCGCUAAGUCUCAAGCAUGAUUGCUUCCCACGAAUUAUGGCGUAUGAUAAACAUGCAAUAAAAGUACGAAUGAGUAUGGACCUCAAAGAGAAGAAUCAGUACAAGCCAACCCAGUUUGGGAUGAUGAAGGUAGAAAACAAUCUCAUUGUUACAUUAUAGUGUGCGUAUCGUAAUGAAUUAGGACCUAUUUUUACAUAUUUAUCUUCAUUUUUUAUGUCCUUACAUGCAUUAUUUUUCUCUCAGCUACGUCCAAGAAGUGAAGUCUGUUACAGCAGACAUACAAUGGGUAUGAUGUCGGCUUUUCGAGCUGAAAGUGGCGCUGUCCCAUCAGAGAUCAAUCCUGAUAAUAGCAAGGUAUUUUCAUAAUUCUCUAGUUAUAUUCGUUUAGCAUACUGUCUGCAAUCCAACAUGUUGUGUAUAUAUGUUUACAGAUAGUUCAGCAAGCAUUCCUGAUUAGGGACAAUUUGUCAGAUGGAAAUAUAGAUUCCUGCGCCAAUGUAUUUCGUCAAACUUCUCAUGUUCAGCUGCAGCAUCCCUCUGGUAUUUCCUAAACUUUCAUCCACUGAUAGCAAUUUUAAUAAGUAAUGGUUAAUCUAUUUCAUUUCAGCUCUAGCUCAGAUGCAAUUUACGACCAACAUACCGACAGCAAAUAAUUUGCAUGCCAAAACAUCAACAUCAAUGGGUACACCAGGUUCAAAUGGAUCACUCGAUUUAAAUCGGUCGGUUAAGAGUGAGCAAGAGACGAGCUUGAACCUGAACAAAACAUACCCACGUCAAUCAUUGUGCGAUAUAGAGCCACCCUCCUUUGAUCUCGGCAUUGACCUAACACCAGUACAAGAAUCAAAGAAAGGUAUUACUUACAUACAUUUUCAUUCCUUUCUCAUUUACAUUUCUUAAUUACUUUUACUGCAUACAGAUUCUGCGGACUGUCGUCAUCCUAUCUCACCACGUUCUAUGUCACGUGAGAUAGCAGCAUCUAGCUGCAUUAUUCUACAAGACAUGUACGUUGAGAACAGCCAAGGAGAACUAAAGCAUGUGUGUGGCAUAAAACGAGAGUACCCUGAACCCAAACUCUUGGACUUCAGUCUUUCUACCCAUAACAAACCUCAGCGUCAGCGUUUCAAGUAUUCUAUUAACUCUCCAUUUGGUGACGCGGCCGCUGUACAUUCUUGUCCAGAACACGUGAUGAAUGUAUUAGUUAACUAGAUUAAGAACUAUCAGACUGAAGAUGUAUCCAGGUAUUUCAACUUCAUAUUUUUUGGUCCAUACCCAAAACCUCUGAAGCUCGCAAUGUUUACUAAUUAUCCCCUACAUCUAGCUCUACUUGGGUAGCUCAUGUCAAGCCAACCGCGAUCAAACUAACGGGGACAGACAUCCAUAAUUUCAUUGAAGGCAAUGACAGAGUUGAGUAUCCAACCGUGAGUCUUUACACUAGAAGGCUCAUUCAACUGGAUUUUGAGAUGUAUGGGGAAACUGACGCUUAUGGAAAGCGCCACUUUAUUGAGCCUGAUUUUGGGGUUAUUUAUCUUGUUAUCCUGCUCCGCAUAUAUGAAUUUAUUACCCAAACUUUUAUUUACAUAAGACUUUUGCAGGUUCAUGCAAUAGCUGGUGGAGACUGUUGGAACCCGGAAUUGUUUCGACAACAGUUCACUGGUCCGCACCUCAAGUACAACGUCUCCAAGUGUGAAAAUGUAAGAGUACAAAUUUUGCUAAGCUACAUUAGUGUGCUUUGUCUAACGGACGGGUAUAUGGUCACUGCAGAUUCAUGUUUCCCUAUGCGAUAUUAAACACUGGUCUUGUUAUACAUUCGACUUGCAUCGAAGAGUUAUUUACAUCCUUGACUCUAGUAAGCCUGAAAAGAGCGAGGAUGUUAGGCAAUACAGUAGGCAUACUUGGAUUGUACCUAUGUUGGCUUCUGCCAUGCAACAAUGCUUGUCCCUGUUCUUCAGUGACUGGAAAGAAGAUGUAACUACAUGGGCUUAUAAGGAACCUGUUGUGCCUACACACCGGUUUGAGUAAGAAUUUCCUCUGCCUAACCUUACGUCUCAUGAUAAUUCAAGAUUUUACUGUUUUAAUUACUACCGGUUACAUCUAAUUGUGCAGGGUUGAGAGUGGUGUUUAUACUUUGGAGUUCAUGAAGAAUUGGAAGGGGACAGACGUCGCCAAAGAGCUCAAUUCAGUAAGCCAUCCAUAAUUUUUCUUAAGACAUUUUCAAUAAAAAAACUGUCAUCCAUGUGUUGCCUUACUUACUUCCUAUCGUCAACCCACGCUUGCAUUGACAAGGUUAGGGCCAACAUUCUACUGGACAUUCUUACCAUCAGAGAUAAUGUAGCGGCACUUCUAGAUUUCGUCAAACAACUUGUGAGGCAAUACGAGGAUGGAGUAGUCGUGAAGAAAUGAAGACUCUCUUAUUACCUUUAUUUCAUCAUUUACAUAAUUAUAUCGAACUUGUUUUCACUUUCGGAAAAAGUAUUGACCAUUCUAUGUAAUAAAUACGACAAUUUGCUUCAUUUUAUGUUCAAUCUCUUCAUACGUUCCCUUGGGUAUCAUGUUGUCGGUUCAUAUUCCCACGGACCUGUCCUGGGAUUGUACUUUUUAGCGCCGACAGUUAAAAUUCAUACACGAUGCUUCAUACAAAUUAGACUACAAUUUUCUCCUAUGUUCUGGAUUUAUACUUCAACUCAUUUGGGUUUCCCAUACUCCAAUGAGAUCAAAAACGAAUAUUACCUUCAGUUCCAUACAUACACUAAACCUUCUCUUCUAAUACACAGCCGUCAAAAAAUAUCAAAGCAAAAUGGUGCCACAUUGAUCAUGGCGGGCUCAAAUGGUAGCAACUGAUCCAGUGUUGAGUUGACGGAUCCAUGAAAGCGGCGACCACCUUACUGACUACUAUUUUACAUUAUUCUGCUCGAGUAACCAACAUCCACACCAACGUCUCUUCAAAUUAUAAAAAAUGAGUACUCACACUGCCAUCGUACAUUCAUUGUCAUUGUACAUAACCAAUAUCGACACCUUCUAUAGUGGUCACAGUAGUCAGUUCAAUUUUUAACAUAAAAUGUCAGGCAAAGUAUCAUAGCAAACAUCAAUUUUAAUAUAGAUUCAGCGACGAUUCUUUAACUAGGUGUCUUGCAAUUAAGAAGCAAUCUAAAAUCGUCCGUAAAAAUGGAAGCAGAGCAAGUGCUUGUGCACUGCCUUGUACGUUGUACCACUACUAGUGAAUGCAACAAAUCGCUAAUUCCUAGUAAUUAGCUAGGCAAUGAAUCACACCAUAACUAAGAGUUAAUGACCCGAAUCAGUUACUGAUCAUGGCUAGUGGAGUCUCCUAUCUCACGUAUGGGUAUUUAAAAGGAGAACCCCUCCUUCCCAAACACACCAUUUCACAACGAAACACCAUAGUCUGAAGCGCAAACCUAAUGACCACUCCUUCUGAAGGAGAUGUCGCUGGUGGCACGGAAGGAUGUCCUUCACUGGAUUGUUCUAAUCAAGGCAGGACUACCAGUGGCAGGUCAUUUCUGAUACUACUAUACUCAUCUUCCCUACGUAAUAGACAUAUUAGUCAUUUUUGUUCUAGAAACUUGUACUCAGUGCUGACUCAUUAUAUAUUUUAUAAUUAGUGAUGACUCCGGAACUGCGCUGGUUACUAUUCCACCAGAAUAUUGCGAUGCAACGAUUAUGGAUCCUUUUUUAGGCCAGGUAUUCCAUGAAGACACGGAUGCCUUCCAGUUUUAUAACAUGUACGCGUUGAGAAACGGGUUUGGUAUAAGAAUUCGUAAACAAGUCAAAAAUGUUGCUGGUGACACUACUUACAUCGAAUUUGUAUGCUCAUGCGCGGUAUGUACUACUUAUCGUUUAUCGCUCAAACUAAAAUAAUUCAUGAUUGUGGGAUCAUUCAAUUUUUCUGUUGUCUUGUAUUUCCUUUCUCAGGGCAAGCCAUCUAAGGGGGUUCAAAAAUCUGUGAAGAGAGGUUGCGGUGCCGUGAUGCGCAUACACAGACAUGAAGAACAUAAGUGGAUCAUCACAGAACUCCGGCAAGAACACAAUCAUCCCCUUACAACCAGCACAGGUAUGACCCGCAACUGGAAAUCACAUAACAAAAUCGGUGAGGGCACCAAGCGCAUUAUGAAAGAUAUGAUGGAAAACAACAGCACCACAACUCAAAUGUAUGGAUAUAUAGCCGGGAUUGCCGGAGGAGCAUCGAUGCUGCCUUUCACUAGGACGUAUUUUCAAAGUGUUAAACAAUCAAUCCGAAUUGAAGAAAGUACAGAUGACAUCAAGAAGACAUUACGACUAUUUGUAGAAAUGCAAAAAUCAAGCAAAGAUUUCUUUUAUGCUGUCGAUGUUGGAAAGAAUGGAAAGAUAAAAAAUGUUUUCUGGUCGCAUGCUUGGUCUAGGGAUAGUUACAAGCACUUUGGUGACGUGGUCACAUUUGAUACUACCUACCAAACAAAUAUAUACGGUAUGCCUUUUGGUCUUUUUGUGGGUGUAAACAAUCACUUCCAGACUGUCAUCUUUGGUUGCGGACUGGUUAUAGAAGAAUCAGAGGAUGCCUUCAAGUGGUUGUUUAGUACUUUUCUUAAAGCUGUCGAAGAUAAGCAUCCAGUUGGAAUUCUCACAGGUUUACUCUCCACAUACCCUUACAGCACUUUUCCAUUUUCUUUUCUUAAAACAUUCUAAUUAUUUUGUACAAAUAAUACAGACCAGAACAGGGCCAUGGAACUUGCCAUCAAAGCUGUACUCCCUAACACAAUCCAUAGGUGGUGUAAAUGGCACAUUUUUUACAAAGCCAAAGAACAUAUUGGUCCUAAUCUUUACAGCAAGACAUCUGAUUUCAAGGACAAGUUCCAUAGAGUUCUUAAUCAUACAAGGACCAUAGAUGAGUUUGAAGGUGCUUGGAACUCACUUAUUGCUGAGUAUGAUCUCCAUAGCAACACCUGGCUACAAGAUGUGUGGGAUAAACGUGAUCGCUGGGCACCACCAUACUUCAAAGAUUUUUUCUUCGCAAAGAUGACAACAACGCAACGCAGCGAGUGCAUGAAUCAUGUGCUCAAAGCCUACGUUUCACCAUCAUCAACCAUGCAUAACUUCGUUAAACAAUACGAUAAGUUUAUUGCUGAUAGGAUUGCGGCUGAGGACAAACUUGAGUUCGACACUUCGAAGGUAUAUUUAUAUUAUAAUACAAAUAUACCUUUUCCUUUUUCUAAAUGAGAUUCAUUACCAUACCUCAUGCCGUUGCCACUUCUCAUAUUCGCAGGAUGCAAGGCAGCCGAGAUGUGGAUCACCAAUAGAGAGGAAAGCUGCUAAAGUUUACACAGACACCAUGUUUGCGAAGUUCAGCGACCAGGUAUACAUGAGUGCGUCUUACUUUGUCCAAGAAAUCAGAGAUGAUGGCACAUACAUAACAGUUCACAUGGAAUGUGAUACGAGGGAAAACUGGAGUAAGUUGGAGUUUCCAGUUCAUGUAAAGAAAGAUGAAGAGGAGUACAGAUGUAUUUGUAGGUUAUUUGAACACAUGGGCAUAUUAUGCUCACACAUAAUCAGGGUAUGCACAAUGGACCCUUUCAGUACUAGUCUUCUUUUCCCAAGGAAAUUAGAGUCAAAUUAUAUUAUUCAUUUUUGUGUCAGGUUAUGAUGCAUAUUGGGUGCCGGAAUCUUCCAGACAAAUACAUCAAGAAAAGAUGGACGAGCAAUGCCCGAGAAGGAAAUAAAAGCAGAUUCAACAUGCAUGCUGCUGCUUCGAGGACUCACCGGCAUACCCUGUUAUUCGAAGCUUGCAUGGACCUAUCGUCCAAAGGUGAUGCAUCAGUUGAUGCGUACCAUGUUGCAAUGAGGAAAAUUACUGAAGCUUUACAGGAGAUCCGUUUGAUGCCAACCCAAGAAGAUGCUACGGCUAUACUUCAAGUCCACACAACAUCUACACAUUUAUCUGCGGAAUCAGAUGAUGAGUGUGCCAAUGAAAUGGAAGAUGAGGACAUCUUGGAAGCUCAACUUCAUGACGAUGUGCUUCCACCAAACCGACGCAAGAAGCGAGGACGUCCAAGGACAGCAAGGCUCAAAUCUGCUGCCGAAGGUGGUGUACGUACAAAACGGAAAUGUUCAUUCUGCCAAGAGAAAGGACACUACAGAACUGGUUGUCCUCAAAACCCAGAGAAUUUGACAAAGUCAAAGAUUAAUAAAGUCUGCAAGAAGUGCCAGCUUCCUGGCCACAACACCUCUACAUGUGGCGAUCCUCCUUUACAUACUUGAUACGUUUCAGUACAAGUGUAAUAGUUUUCUUACAAAAUUUCCUUCAUUUUAUUGAAGCAUGUACUGUUCGUCCUUAAUAAUAACAGUGCCAAGAUAUUUAUGAUUUCCCAUUCAUUUUGUUUGUUGCAUAACACUAAGCAAUGGUCGUGUUAUUCUACUGUCGUCCUCACUGCCAACUGUUAAAUGAGUUUAAAACCCAGGUUGCAUGGCAAACUUGUGUUCUGACUGAGUAUCAUCGUGUUGUCUGUUGCCAUACCUUGCUCAUGUUUGUCGAUACAAGUUUAAUACCCAGUUCAAUAGUCUGAUAGUCUUACCUCCGACUUAUUUCUAAUUCCGACUGAGUAUCAUUUCGGUUUCAUUAUUUCAAAAAAAAUGUACAUUAAUUAGAGGCGCAUAUUUGGAAGGUAUUUCAAUUCCUAGUUAUACCAUUUCCAUAUUACACACGUCCCGCAAAAUUUUUGGAAGGUAUCUGACGGGAAAUCAGUUCGGUUUAAUUUUGCAAAAAUUGACUGACCAUUGAUGACAGCCACAUUUUCGGAAGAUGAUACCCUUUCCAUGUUAUACCCUUUCCAAAAAAAUGGAUAAUUUCGGUUCGUUUUUUCCAAAAUGAUAAACCACUAUUGCACAAGCCACGCCAUGCAAAUUUCUUGGCAGGGUAUUCAAUUCGCAUGCAUCAUUGGGGGUAUGAAUUACAAAUAGACAUAUGUAAACUAAUUUCUUACNNNNNNNNNNNNNNNNNNNNNNNNNNNNNNNNNNNNNNNNNNNNNNNNNNNNNNNNNNNNNNNNNNNNNNNNNNNNNNNNNNNNNNNNNNNNNNNNNNNNNNNNNNNNNNNNNNNNNNNNNNNNNNNNNNNNNNNNNNNNNNNNNNNNNNNNNNNNNNNNNNNNNNNNNNNNNNNNNNNNNNNNNNNNNNNNNNNNNNNNNNNNNNNNNNNNNNNNNNNNNNNNNNNNNNNNNNNNNNNNNNNNNNNNNNNUAUAUAUGGAAAAGAUUAGACACCGCACAUGGCAGCUGUGGCCUCUUGUCCCGCCUGCCCGCUGUGGGCGUUUUUGUUUUUUGUGGGUCUCCCAUUUAUAGUUUCCUACUUGCCAAUUGUUUGGUUUUUUGUCUCCCGGAAGCGUACAUAUGUGAAUGAGCUGACCCAUGAAGGGCUUUUUUACUAGUUUUGGGAGAAGCUUCCAACCCUUUUUUUUGUCUUUUUUAGUUUUUAUUUUUGUUUUCGCCUUUUUCAAAACUCGUGAUUUUUGUUGGUGUCUCACAUCUAAGUCCCUCAUCGUUCGAUCCACAGUCUUUUUUUUUCAUACGAGCCCUUGAUUCCUGUAGUUUGCCGCGUCCAUUAUGUGCUCACGUAGUUAAUUUUUUUCUUUUGAGGGAAAUGUGCUCGCGCAGUUGCCGUCUCCGGUGUGCUCACAUCGCUAUUGCGUUUCUUGGGCCCAUUAUGUCCUUAGUCGUUGUUUGUUGGCCUGUGUUCCCUGUGUUAGUGUUUGGGCCAGGUUUUUUUCCUUGUGCCCCGAUCAUUUCACGUCCAUGUGAGUUGUUCGACCACCUCAAAAAAAUGUUAGUUGUUCGUGAUUUUCUAAAAGAAAACUGUAUAAUUUUUCGAUUUUUUUGUACAAAUCAGAUCGACUAUUUGUUAAUUCUCUCCACAUGAUUAAUUGUUGUACGGUUCAUAUAAUUUGUUCAAUCUGGUGCGCGUUGUGGCUUUUUGUCCUCCAUUUGUCCAGUCGAAAAUUUUAUACUAAAUUGCAAAAUCACAUCUAGAUGAUUUUUGAUGAUGUCUCAUCUAAGUUUUUUUACCGGUUGAUUUAGUUUUUGUAAUUUUUAUGCAAGCGCUAUCCCCGCCUUGUUGGUCGAUGUUUUGUUUGUCGCGCAUCCUUUUGUUGGUCAGUUUGGCUUCACACUUUCAGCCCAUUAUCGUGUCGUGCUGACAAGCCAUUUCGAUACGUUGUUUCUAGGCCACAGCGUAGAUUUAGAAGAGACAAGAAAAGCAAAGGUAUAUCGCGCCUGUUACCUUCUCUGUUCAUUUUCACAUUGUCUCCCAUUUCUUCUAAGCUUUAUCAAGAUAAAAUUAGCAAUGUUUCAUCUGAGUUUGUUGUCCAUCGGAUCUUGCUGUUGUAAUUUAGUGCAAAUUUUGGAUCUUGCAUGUCGGCCGAUGUAUUCCUCUACCGCGUUGUUCCCUUUUGUUCGUUUGUCGUCCCGUCCGUUUUGUACAUAUGUUUUUUAUUGGGCAUUUUUCUGCACGCGUUCUUGUGUGCCCAUGUCAUUUGGCAAUGUCGUAGAAGUUAAAGAGGUAGGUUAUGCGCUUGUCCCGGUUGCAAGUGUUGGGAAUCGUAGCAUAAUUUUAAAUUUUUCCUACGCUCACCAAGAUGCAUCUAUGGAGUGUACUAGCAACAAGGGGAAAGGAGUGCAUCUACGUACCCUUGUAGAUCGCGAGCGGAAGCGUUCCAAUGAACGUGGAUGACGGAGUCGUACUCGCCGUGAUCCAAAUCACCGAUGACCGAGUGCCGAACGGACGGCACCUCCGCGUUCAACACACGUACAGUGCAGCGACGUCUCCUCCUUCUUGAUCCAGCAAGGGGGAAGGAGAGGUUGAUGGAGAUCCAGCAGCACGACGGCGUGGUGGUGGAUGUAGCGGGUCUCGGCAAGGCUUCGCCGAGCUUCUGCGAGACGGAGAGGUGUAGCAGGGGGAGAGGGAGGCGCCCAUGGCUAUAGGUUGCUGCCCUCCCUCCCCCCCCCUUUAUAUAGGCCCCCUGGGGGGCGCCGGCCCUGGAGAUGGGAUCUCAAGGGGGGGGGCGGCCAAAGGGGGGGAAGGGGUUGCCUUGCCCCCCAAGGCAAGUGGGAAGCCCCCCACCCUAGGGUUCCCAACCCUAGGCGCAUGGGGGGAGGCCCAUGGGGGGGCGCCCAGCCCACUAGGGGCUGGUUCCCUUCCCACUUCAGCCCACGGGGCCCUCCGGGAUAGGUGGCCCCACCCGGUGGACCCCCGGGACCCUUCCGGUGGUCCCGGUACAAUACCGGUAACCCCCGAAACUUUCCCGGUGGCCGAAACUUGACUUCCUAUAUAUAAUUCUUCACCUCCGGACCAUUCCAGAACCUCUCGUGACGUCCGGGAUCUCAUCCGGGACUCCGAACAACUUUCGGGUUUCCGCAUACACAUAUCUCUACAACCCUAGCGUCACCGAACCUUAAGUGUGUAGACCCUACGGGUUCGGGAGACAUGCAGACAUGACCGAGACGCCUCUCCGGUCAAUAACCAACAGCGGGAUCUGGAUACCCAUGUUGGAUCCCACAUGUUCCACGAUGAUCUCAUCGGAUGAACCACGGUGUCGAGGAUUCAAUCAAUCCCGUACGCAAUUCCCUUUGUCAAUCGGUAUGCUACUUGCCCGAGAUUCGAUCGUCGGUAUCCCAAUACCUUGUUCAAUCUCGUUACCGGCAAGUCUCUUUACUCGUACCGCAAUGCAUGAUCCCGUGACUAACGCCUUAGUCACAUUGAGCUCAUUAUGAUGAUGCAUUACCGAGUGGGCCCAGAGAUACCUCUCCGUCACACGGAGUGACAAAUCCCAGUCUCGAUCCGUGCCAACCCAACAGACACUUUCGGAGAUACCCGUAGUGCACCUUUAUAGUCACCCAGUUACGUUGUGACGUUUGGCACACCCAAAGCACUCCUACGGUAUCCGGGAGUUGCACGAUCUCAUGGUCUAAGGAAAAGAUACUUGUCAUUGGAAAAGCUCUAGCAAACGAAACUACACGAUCUUUUAUGCUAUGCUUAGGAUUGGGUCUUGUCCAUCACAUCAUUCUCCUAAUGAUGUGAUCCCGUUAUCAAUGACAUCCUAUGUCCAUAGUCAGGAAACCAUGACUAUCUGUGGAUCAACGAGCUAGUCAACUAGAGGCUUACUAGGGACGCGUUGUGGUCUAUGUAUUCACACAUGUAUUACGAUUUCCGGACAAUACAAUUAUAGCAUGAAUAAUAGACAAUUACCAUGAAAAAAGAAAUAUAAUAAUAACCAUUUAUUAUUGCCUCUAGGGCAUAUUUCCAACAGCAAGUCUACCUGCAGACUCAUAACUGGGUCGAUAUUUUGUUUUUCAUCCUGGUUGCAAGUCCAUCUUUUGCUCGUCACUCGGCUCAUAGUUUGUAAUUUUUAUAGUUGCAAAUACACCCUCUACUCACAACUCGUAUCGUAGUUUUGGGUAGUUGUCCUAGUUGCAAGCUCACCAUUGACUCGUAAUUGGGCAUGUGGUUUGUUUUUUUAUCCCAGUUGCAAGUCUACCCUUGACUCGCAAUUAAGCUCACAGUUUGUAGUUGUCCCAGUUACAAACUCACCGUUGACUCACAACUCAUAUCAUAAUUUUGUACAGUUGUCCCAGUUACAAGUCCACCAUUGAUUCGCAACUAGCUAGGCCGAUAGUUUGUUUUAUCCUCCUUGGAAGCCCACCCUUGACUCCCAACUUAGCUGUGUUUGUCUUUCAUCUUAGUUGCAAGUUCAGCCUUGACUCGGAACUGGGAUUGUAGUUUGUUUGAUCCCAGUUGCAUGUCGACCCUUGACUCGCAACUGGGUUCGUAGUUUCGUAGUUGUCUCAGUUGCAAGUCCACCUUCGACUCGCAACUGGCCUCAUAGUUCUCCCUAUUGCAAGCCCACCCUCGACUCGCAACUAGACAUGUCUUUUAUUUUUACACUCCAGUUGCAAGUCCACCUUUGACUCGUAACUGGGUCCAUAGUUUGUUUCAUCCCAGUUGCAGGCCGACCAUUUACUCGCAACUGGGUGCACUGUUUCAUAGGUGUCCUAAUUGCAGGUCCAUCAUCGACUCGCAACUAGGUUCAUACUUUUGUUGUUGUCAAAGUUGUAGGUUCACCCCCGACUCUAACUAGGCCCAUAGUUUUUUUUGCAGGUUAGGCCCAUAUUUGUUGUUGUUCUAGUUGCAAGUCCAUCCUCAACUCGCAACUGGGCCUCUAUUUUGUUUUUCAUCUUAGUUGCGAGUCCACUCUCGACUCGCAACUGAGCUUGUAGUAUGUUGUUGUCCGUUACAAGUCCACCCCCGACUUACGGGAGGGUGUAGUUUUGUAGUUGCCCUAGUUGCAAGUCCACCAUCAACUCGCAACUNNNNNNNNNNNNNNNNNNNNNNNNNNNNNNNNNNNNNNNNNNNNNNNNNNNNNNNNNNNNNNNNNNNNNNNNNNNNNNNNNNNNNNNNNNNNNNNNNNNNNNNNNNNNNNNNNNNNNNNNNNNNNNNNNNNNNNNNNNNNNNNNNNNNNNNNNNNNNNUUAUAGUAGUUGCAAUUAGACCCUCGACAUGCAACUAGGAGUUUCUGUCAGCCCAGUUGCAAGUCCACCCUCGACUCACAACUCGGGAGGGUGAAAGUGCAACUAUCCCUAGGUGGUUUUGGUAAUUCCUAACAACAUAUAGCUCAUUGAGCUAAUGCUAUUUCAAGAUAAACAUUUUAGGAAAGCUCAAUGAUUGGCAUGGCAUGGAUGAGAAAAGUGGACCCCUCAAAAUGCUAAGGACAAAGGAUUGGCUCAAGCUCAAAGCUUAGGACUCUAAAUUUUUCAUUUUAAGUGAUCCAAGAUCACAUUGAGUCCAUAGGAAAAGCCAAUACUAUCAAGAGGGGGUGAGGUGUUGCUUAAUGAGUUUCUUGCUCAAAGUGCUUAGUGAUAUGCUCCAAAACCCUCAACUACUUUCUCACAUCCACAUAUGUCCCAAACCAAAAGUCAAACUCGGCCCCACCGAAACUUUCUAUCCGGCGCCACCGAGUUCAGUUGACAUAGCCACUGCCAGAAACCCUAGUCUUUUCGGUCUCACCGAGAUGGGGUUGUAAUCUCUCUGUUUCCCUUCGUAACGUUUCGGUCAAACCGAGAUGAGCGAUCGGUCCCACCGAGAUUGCAAUGGAAACUCUCUGUUUCCCUUUCGUAACGUUUCAGUCCAACCGAGAUGAGUGAAUCGGUCCCACCGAGUUUGCCUGACCAACUCUCUGUUUGACUAUUACCAAAAUCGGUCUCACCUAGUUUGUGUAAUCGGUCUCACCGAGACUACGUUAUGCCCUAACCCUAACGAAAUUGGUCUUACCGAGUUGACGUGUCGGUCCCACCGAAAUGCCUAACGGUCACAUUAUGAACCAAAUCGGUCCGACCGAGUUUCAUGAUUCGGUCCCACCGAGUUUGGUAAAUUGUGUGUAACGGUUAGAUUUUGUGUGGAGGCUAUAUAUACCCCUCCACCCACUCUUCAUUCAUGGAGAGAGCCAUCAGAACAUGCCUACACUUCCAACAUACAUUUUCUGAGAGAGAACCACCUACACUUGUGUUGAGGUCAAGAUAUUCCAUUCCAACCACAUAAAUCUUGAUCUCUAGCCUUCCCCAAGUUGCUUUCCACUCAAAUCAUCUUUCCACCAAAUCCAAUCCUAUGAGAGAGAGUUGAGUGUUGGGGAGACUAUCAUUUGAAGCACAAGAGCAAGGAGUUCAUCAUCAACACACCAUUUUGUUACCUCUUGGAGAGUGGUGUCUCCUAGAUUGGCUAGGUGUCACUUGGGAGCCUCCGUCAAGAUUGUGGAGUUGAACCAAGGAAUUUGUAAGGGCAAGGAGAUCGCCUACUUCGUGAAGAUCUACCCGAGUGAGGCAAGUCCUUCGUGGGCGACGGCCAUGGUGGGAUAGACAAGGUUGCUUCUUCGUGGACCCUUCGUGGGUGGAGCCCUCCGUGGACUCGCGCAACCGUUACCCUUCAUGGGUUGAAGUCUCCAUCAACGUGGAUGUACGAUAGCACCACCUAUCGGAGCCACGGAUAAAAAAUCUCCGUGUCAACAUUGCGUUUGCUCCCUCAAACUCCUCCCUUUACCUUCAUAUGCAAUUGUUUUACUUUCCGCUGCUACACUCUUAGAAUUGCAUGUGUAAGUUGAUUGCUUGACUUGUGCUAAGUUGCUAAAAUCUGCCAAGAACUAAAAUUGGGAAAAGGCUAGAUUUUUAUUUGGUCAAGUAGUCUAAUCACCCCCCCCCCUCUAGACAUACUUUCGAUCCUACGGAGGGUGUUGUUUUGUUUUCACCCCAGUUGCAAGUACACCCCUGACUUGCAACUCGAGGUAUGUACUUUGUAAUCGCCCCAGUUGCAAGUCAACCAUGUACUCGCAACUCGGGAGGGUGUUGUUUCUUGUUUGUUUUCACCCUUGUUACAAGUCCACCCCGACUUGUAACUCGAGGGAUGUAGUUUGUAAUCGCCCUAGUUGCAAGUCAACCAUGUACUCGCAACUCGGGAGGAUGUAGUUCUAUAGUUUCCCUAGUUGCAAGUCCACCCUCGACUCACAACUAGGGGGUUGUUGUUUUUUGUUCUUGUCUCAUAGUAGUUGCAAUUAGACCCUCGACAUGCAACUAGGGGUUUCCGUCGGCCCAGUUGCAAGUCCACCCCCGUCUCGCAACUCGGGANNNNNNNNNNNNNNNNNNNNNNNNNNNNNNNNNNNNNNNNNNNNNNNNNNNNNNNNNNNNNNNNNNNNNNNNNNNNNNNNNNNNNNNNNNNNNNNNNNNNNNNNNNNNNNNNNNNNNNNNNNNNNNNNNNNNNNNNNNNNNNNNNNNNNNNNNNNNNNNNNNNNNNNNNNNNNNNNNNNNNNNNNNNNNNNNNNNNNNNNNNNNNNNNNNNNNNNNNNNNNNNNNNNNNNNNNNNNNNNNNNNNNNNNNNNNNNNNNNNNNNNNNNNNNNNNNNNNNNNNNNNNNNNNNNNNNNNNNNNNNNNNNNNNNNNNNNNNNNNNNNNNNNNNNNNNNNNNNNNNNNNNNNNNNNNNNNNNNNNNNNNNNNNNNNNNNNNNNNNNNNNNNNNNNNNNNNNNNNNNNNNNNNNNNNNNNNNNNNNNNNNNNNNNNNNNNNNNNNNNNNNNNNNNNNNNNNNNNNNNNNNNNNNNNNNNNNNNNNNNNNNNNNNNNNNNNNNNNNNNNNNNNNNNNNNNNNNNNNNNNNNNNNNNNNNNNNNNNNNNNNNNNNNNNNNNNNNNNNNNNNNNNNNNNNNNNNNNNNNNNNNNNNNNNNNNNNNNNNNNNNNNNNNNNNNNNNNNNNNNNNUUCUUGUUUCAUAGUAGUUGCAAUUAGACCUUCGACCUGCAACUAGGGAUUUCUGUCGGCCCAGUUGCAAGUCUACCCUCGUCUGCAACUCAGGAGGGUGUUGUUUUGUUUUCACCCCAGUUGCAAGUCCACCCUCGACUUGCAACUCGAGAGAUGUAGUUUGUAAUCGCCCCAGUUGCAAGUCAACCAUGUACUCGCAACUCGGGGAGGGUGUUGUUUGUUUUCACUCCAAUUGCAAGUCCACCCACGACUUGCAACUCGAGCGAUGUAGUUUGUAAUCGCCCUAGUUGCAAGUCAACCAUGUACUCACAACUCGGGAGGGUGUUGUUUUGUAGUUGCCCUUGUUGCAAGUCCACCCUCGACUCGCAACUCAGGGGGGGGGUGUUGUUUUUUGUUCUUCUUUCAUAGUUGUUGCCAUUAGACCCUUGACCUGAAACCAGGGGUUCCUGUCGGCCCAAUUGCAAGUCCACCCUCGACUUGAAACUCGGGAGGGUGUUGUUUUGUUUUCACCCUAGAUGCAACUUGCCCGAACCCUACACAAUUGCAUGUCCACCUUCGACAUGCAACCAAGGAUGGACUUGCAGUUGCAUGACUCGACCCUUUGUCCCAGUCGCAUGUCGCUAAUAAAACAAGAAGGCUCACUAAUACCUACAAUAAGGACCCCGGGGGCGCUGAUACAAUCACUAAGCUUAGCGGUCGCUCACUAUUCGCUCACAGUAGGUUGGCCAGCUGGCUCAACUCGCAACUGAACUCGUAUUUUCUUGUUGUCCAGUUGCGAUUCCACCCUUGACUCGCAAAUAGUAUCGUAGUUUUUGUGUAGUUGUCCUUGUUACAAGUUUGCCCUCACAACUAAGCCUACAACUAAACCCAUAGUUUGUUUUCAUCCCCAGUUGCAAGUCCUCCCUUGACUCGCAACUGGGCUCGUAGUUUCGUAGUUGUCCCAGUUGCAAGUCCACCUUCGACUCGCAACUAGGCACAUAGAUUUGUUGUUGUCCUAGUUGCAAGUUCACACGACUCGCAACUCCUAGCGUAGUUUUGUGUAGUUGUCCCAGCUACAAGUCCAUCCUCGACUUGCAACUGGUAUUGUUGUUUUGUGUAGUUGUCCCACUUACAAGUCCACUCUUGACUCGCAACUGGGCUAUAAUCAAUUUUCCGUACCAGUUAAAAGUCCAUCAUUGACAUGCAACUCGGAUUUGCCCCAGUUACAAGUCCAUCCUUAACUCGCAACUAGCCUCAGACAUUUUCUUGACCCAAUUUCAAGCAUCAACUCGCAACUAGGUUCGACCAUUAUACGUUUUUAAAAUUCAUGACCUUUUCUUUAAUUGGUGAACAUUUCUUUUAUUCAUGAAUAUUUUUAGAAAAUCAUGAAAAUUUAACAAAUUCACUAACAUCAUUUUAGUUCACCAAUACGUAUUGAAUUGGUGAAAACUUUUGAAGUUAGCGAACAUUUUUCAAAUUCUUGAACAUCUUUUAUAUCGCGAAUAUAUAUUUCUAAUUUGUGACCUUUUUUGAAUUGAUGAACAUUUUUUGAAUUGAUGAACACUUUUUAAGCUACCACUAUUUUUAUUUCAAAUUCUUAAAAAAAUCACAAACUUUUUUCAUGUUUUGCGGAUGGGGUAAAUUGACCUAAAAGACGUCAACCUACGGACAAGCUAGAGGGCAGUUUGCAAAAAACCUGAAGGAUACGGGCAUUAUCAACAAUAGGGCUGCUUCUCAUUGCAUGCAGACUUGUAUAGUAUCAAUCAAGUCAAGGCCAGCGAGGGAGCCGAGCUAGCUAGCGCUGGCCAGGCAGCCCGCGUGUGUUCAAUGUGACAGCAAACAAAAGCAAAAAAGGCUAAAAAACAAACAAACAACAAGAAAGUCCAGCAGGGAGGAUUACAAAAUACAUGACAUCAUACUUAGAUGUGAGAUAUUAUCUCACGUCUAGAUGUAACAUAGACGGAUUUCAAAAUUCAGAUUGACUAAUAUAUAUCUAGAUGUUUUUUAGCUAUGUCACAUCUAAGUUGUCCACCACAUGAUUAGAGGCUGCAAGAUUCAUGCAAAUCUGUUUUUUUUUGUCGUUGUUGUGUCUCGCACGCGUGCUGGUGUGCCUUUGCAUCCCGUUCGCGUUGUGCCCGUUGACUCCGUGUCGAGCGCUCGCUGGUGUGGGUCAUGUGGGCUAUGGACUACGAUUCCCCUUUUUCAUUUCAAGCCACUGCACUUUAGAAUCGGACUUUUUUUUUGCUCGUGAAUUGGAGUUUGUUCUCGCGAGGAAAAAUAUACUUUUCUCGAUUAGAUUUUUGUUUUUUGUUUUUCCUUCUUUACUAAUUUGUUUUAAAUUCAUGGACUUUAUUUAAUGGGAUUUGCUAAUUCUCAUCGACAUGACAUUUGGCAAUAUUUUAUAUAAGUUUCCGAUCGUUCGAUAUGUUUGUCUUAAAUGUUGUACAAAUCUUAAUUGUGGGUUGUUUUGUCAUGCGCGUCUGCCCUUUCGUGCAUGCAUCUUUCGUUGGGCAAUUUUCGCUGCAUGAUUAGCCGUUUAAAUUUGUUUAUUCUUAUUUUGGCCUGCAUUGUAUAAAUUGGAGAGCCGAACAGUUGGGGGGCGUUUGCUUAUUUGUUUUUCAUGUUCUAGUGAAGGAUGUUAUUUAUUUAUAUUUUCUAUUUUCCAUUUAUUUCAUUUCUUUUCAUUUUUUGUUUGACUUUCCCUUUUUUUUUACUUGUCUUUCCUAAAUUCAAGAACCUUUUUUCAUUCUGCCAUCUGUUCACUUUAAAUGUCGUCAAAAAAUUGAUCUUGUCGUUUUUUCGAGCGAGACCCGUGCGUUUGGUAUCUACUUGUCAGCCCAUUCGCCCGUGCGUCUUUUGUUGUCCCUCGUGAAGCAUUGAGGCCCGAUAGGACUUUCCUUAGUGAGCCGCUUUAAUAUUUUGUGUAUGGAAAACGUUUGGGGCCGGGGCACCGGCGGAACGAUUCGGCCGGUCUCCCUCUUCCUCGCGCAGCGCACGUACAGGAGGGCACCAGAGCCGGCAGGCACCACGCGCGGGCCAGACGACCAGCGGGCUCCUUCGACCGCUGCCGCCAGAGAAGAGCGCCUUGUCGUCCGCGUGCGGCCGCCCCUUACCGGAUGUCGUUCGCAUGCGGCCGCCCCUCGCCGGAUCUCGUGCGCAUGCGGCCGCCCCUCGCCGGAUCUCGUCCGCCUGCGGCCGCCCCUCGCCGGACUACUACCCCUCUGCCUCUUCCCAGAAUCCGCCCCUCUGCCUCUCCCUGGAAUCCGCCCCGGCCGCCCCUCGCCAGACCUUGCAGCGCUCGAGCCUCCCCAGCCAUGGCAGACUACACCCCACGGUGAUUUUUUGUUAGAACCGGUUGUAGCAAAUUCAAUCGCCGGUGGUAGCAAAAAUCUACUACUGUUGCAGCAAAACGGCUUCAUCGUUAUCGCGAGCAAACACUAGACAUCGCGCUUUUUUGUUACAUGCUACAACCUGUAUCACAUUUUGCUACAACCGGCACACCACUCAGCUACAACCGGCGCCGAGUUUUGCUACAUCGGAUAUACAGAAAGUUGCAAGCGUUCAGUGCCAUAGAGGAAAGCUACAACCGUCUACAGAAAAUGCUACAACCUUCGAUGAAAAAAGCUUCAACCAAACGAGAGAUGAAUUUUUCACCCAGGCGCUGCUCAAAACGAAAAAAGUUUCAAUCGUUUACAGAAAAGCUUCCACCGUAGAGGAGAAAAGCUACAAUCGUGUCAAUUUUUUGCUACUACCGUCUGUGUGUUUUGGUACAUCCAUUCAUGCGGCCAUGGUACUUUUUUGCGACUGAGGUGUGACCGGUGACGACGAGGACGAACAUUUUUUGUUGCAACAACCUCGUUUUUGCUACCAUUGGCGAUGUGUUUUGCUACAUCCGAUUAACAUGUUUGCUACAAUGGCGACGCUGAUGGAUUUUUUUUGCUGCAACCGUUGUCUUCAUUUGCUACGACUGACACGGGAAAAUGCUACCACGGGGCAUCUCUGUUUUUUGCUGGAACCAAUUAUCGGUGAGGCGGAGCUGCAUCCAUGGCACUCCGACGAGCAGCGGGGGCAGCGAGCGGUCGGGGCGAGCUGAGUCCCGGAGCGCGGGGCGGCCCCGACGGGCGGCCGGGGCGGCGAGCGGACUUGGACGAGUUGAGUCGCGGAGCUGCAUCCAUGGCGCUCCGAUGGGCGGCCGAGGCGGCGAGCGGUCAGCUCCAACCGGCGGCCGGGGCGGCGAGCGGGUGGGGCGAGCUGAGUGCCGGAGCGUGGGGCGGCCGGCGAAGACGGGCGGCGAGACGGGGUUCCUUUCCCCGUCCGCGCUCGCGAGAGGAAGACGACGCCUUGGUUGGAUAAGGAUCCAACGGAUCGGAAUGAGCCGAUCUGACGGCUAGGGCUGGACCGGCCGAAGCGUCCGGCCGGUGCACCGGCGCCUAGCAUCGCCCUUUGUGUAUUGGGGUUUAUUUUGUGCGUUGUAGAUUUUUUGUGGACGGCCACGCGUCUUUUUAUUUCCUGUUUGUGGUUAUUUUUGUUCGACUGUGUAGCUAGAGGACAUCAUGACUAGAUUUUUUUGUUUUGGAUUUGCUAAAUCUCCUCGGGAUAAGAGUUAGUGAUGUCUCAUCUAAGUCUGUAACCUUCUGAUUUGUUUACUUUAAUGUUUGUACAAACUUGUUCAUUCACGCUUGUGUCAGCUUGUUCUACUUUGUUGCGCGUCCUCUUUGUCAUGAUUGUUUUUGUGUCGUCUGUUCUCGCGUUUCUUUUCACAUGGCCCCAUAUAUAUAGUCAUGGGGGGUGCGUUUGUUUUUGUUUGUUUUCGUUGUGCAUGUUUUAUAGCCUGGUAAAGAAUUUGUAGAGUCCAUCCCGAUUCCCAGACGAGAGCCUGUUUUAUAUAAGGGAGCAAUUGCAAGUUUUUUUGUCUAGAUAAAGGGUAUAAAUGUGUAGAAUUCAGAUCAAUGGGGAGAAAUGUCAGAACUCCUUAUUGUUCUUAUAACCCUUGACUUGCAACGGGGCUCGUAGUUUCAUAGUUGUUCCAGUUGAAAGUUCACCGUACCCUUGAUUUGCAAACUGGGCUCGUAGUUGUCCGAGUUACAAGCCCACCCUCGACUCGCCAUCGGAGCAUCUAUUUUUUUGUAUUGCAGUUACAAGCCAAACCUUGACUCGCUAUUGAGCUCAUAGUUUGCUUUCAUCCCAGUUGCAAGUUCACCCUCGAUUUUUAACUAGGCUCGGUAUUUUUUUGCAUCAUAACUGGGCCCAAUUCUUUUUUUUUUCAUUAGUUGCAAGUCCAUCCUCAACUUGCAACGACCCGACUUUUUGCGUUAGUUACAAGUACACCAUCCACCGACAAUUAGGGGCUGGCAUUAUUUUGUCCCAGUUGCAAGUCAAGGAUCGAUUCAUAACUCGGCCCACACUUUUUUUUAUCACAGUUUGGAAGAAAACCAUCGAUGCAUAGCUGGGCCCUUGAUCUUAUCCAAGUCACAAGUCAACCAGCAACUCGCAACUACGGGGGGAGGGACAAGUGUAUCUUUGUACGACUCCGAGCUGCAUGUCAACCAUCGACUCGCAACUAGGGGAGCGAAGCAUGUUUGUAAAGGAACCAGUUGCAAGUAAACCACCAACUCGCAACUGGGGAGGAGGGGGUCUGUGUGUUUGUCGAGCCCCCAGUUGCAUGUCAACCAUCGACACACAACUAGGGGGAGGGGAGAGUGUUUAUCGAGGAUGACCCGGUUGCAAGUCAACAAUCGACUUGCAACUAGGGGGAGUGUUUGUCGGGGCCGACGUCGGUUGCAAGUUAAUCAUCAACUCGCAACUAGGGGAUGCGACAGUGUUUGUCGGGGCCGCCCCCGGUUGCAAGUCAACCAUCGACUCACAACUAGGGAUGGCAAGAGUGUUUGUCGGGGCCCGACCCCGGUUGCAAGUAGACCAUCGGCUCGCAACUAGGGGGAGGGAAGUGUGUUUGUCGGGUACCCCAAUUGCAUGUCAACCAUCAACUUGCAACUAAGGGGGGAGUGUGCUUGUACGGGGCCCAGUUGCAUGUCAACCAUCGACUCACAACUUGGGGGGAGGGAGAGUGUCUGUCGAGGCCGACCCCGGUUGCAUGCCAACCAUCGACGCACAACUAGGGGAAGGUGAGAGUGUUUGUUGGGGCGUGUUUGUUUGUCGACCAUCGACUCGCAACUAAGGGUGUGUUUGUUUUGUCGGGGCCCCUAGUUGCAAGCGAACCAUCAACUCGCAACUAAGGGUGUGUUUUGUUUGUCGUGCUCCCCAGUUGCAUGUCCACCAUCAACUCGCAACUAAGGGUGUGUGUGUUCUUGUCGUGGUCCUGAGUUGCAACUCAACCAUCAACUCGCAACUAAGGGUGUGUUUGUCAAGGCCCCUAGUUGCAAGCCUACCAUAGACUCGCAACUAAGGGCGUGUGUGUUCUUAUCGUGGUCCCCAGUUCCAUGUCAACCAUCGAUUCACAACUAAGCGCGUGCUUGUCAGGGCCCCCAGUUGCAAGUCAUCCAUUGACUCGCAACUCAGGGUGUGUGUGUGUGUUCUUGUCGGAGCCCCUAGUUGCAUAUCAACAUUGACUCACAAUUAAGGGCGUGUGUGUUUGUUGUACAGGCCCGAGUUGCAAGUUAGCCAUCGACUCACAACUAGGGGGGUGUAACACCCCGAGGAUCAUGCUACAGUAAUCUCCCCCUAAUGGUGGCCAUGUCAUCAUGAUUACUAUGCAGCUUGCCACUUGUCCAAAAAAUCAAAUCCUUUUCAAAUUUAAAAUAAGUUGAAUAAAUUAUUUCUUUGAGCAGUAAAACAAAAAUGUUUACAUUAUUCUAAAAAGUCUCCUGAUCAUUUCUCAUGUUGAAAUCAACAUCAUUUGACUCACCAAUUAACCCCUAGGAAAUUAUAAGGUGGUCCAGCAGUAUAUGAAAACAGCCUUUUCAAAAUAAACAAAUACUUAUACAAUUCCAAAUGUCCCCAAACUUUGUGGGACGCUCCAGAAUAUUGCAUGGUAAUUAUUUGCAAUUUUUGAGUCCAAGAAAAAUUCAUUUGCUAUGUGAACUAAAUAGAAAACUGAGACAAAAUGAUUAAAAAAAGAGAAAUGAAAAUGGACAAACUUACCUGUUGGACUGGGCUCUAUGUGCACAGUGCACAAUCGGCCCAGCCCAGCCGUGCCUUAUCCUUCCUUCCUGUUCACAGGAGGCCGUGGCGCGCAUUCGGCCGCCAUGGCCGCGGAUGGACGCGUGCCGGCCAUCCCACGGCCCCCCUACCGGAUAAGGCCUAGCCAGACCCCUACAAACCCUAGCGCCUCCCCACUUCCCCUCCCUUCGCGCCGCUUCGCUCUCUCGCGCACCCACCCGUGUCAUCGUUGCCAUGGCCUCCUCCGUCCGUGUGGCCAUCGUCGACCUCAUCGGUUCAGGCCCUCGCCUGGCACUGCGUCUGCUUCGUCUUCAUCGACUCCGAGGAGUAGCUCGAGCAGGAGAUCGCCACAGCGCCGGGAUCGACCGCUUCUUCCCGCUUCGGUCGUCGGAGUUCCCUCCCGAAUCCACUUACGUCUGCUGCUACUAAGCUGCCAACGGGACCCCAUGCGACCCUAGGUGAGCUCAUGGUCCUCCUCGACCCCCUCUCGUUCCUCCUCGUGCCUCGUUGGCUCGUUUCCGUCGCGGUUGAGCCGCCACCGCCGUUGGACGUCGUCGUCUCGGUCAUUUCCCGCCGUUCUAGCUCGCGCCCGUGCCACCUACGAACGCGGUGGGGUAUCCUCGUUCGAAUGGUUCGAGCCGUUGCUCGAACUGGACCCCGUAGAUACCUUCCCGUGCAUCGCCGCCGCUCCUGAAGCUCGUCGUCGACGCAUGCGUACGUCUAAACGCCGGCCGUGCCCUGCGUGCCUACCACUGCUCGGCCUGCAGUUUCUGCUGCUCGGGGCUGUGCACGCGCAUGCUGAACCUAACCCGCGCUCCCCUUCCAUCGCUUGUGCCCGCGCCUCCUCCUGUUGUUCCUCGCGCCGCCUGCGUUGCUCUACUGCUGCCGCAUCCCACUGUCGGCUGCCUCGCCUCCGCUCGCUGCAGCCCCUGCCCCCGCGCCCUGCGCGUGACCCACUCCCGCAUCGCCCCGCCUCUGCCUCUCUCUGCGCGCCGCCCGCCGCCAGCGCCCAGCUCGCCCGCUGCCUCCCAGACCGCUCGCCGCCCGCACAACCCUCCCGCUGCCGAGCUGCUGCUGCUACGGCCGCGCUGCGCUGCCGCCCUCUCGCCGCGCCGCUAGGGCCGCCGCAACCAGGGCCGCGCCCUGCUCCCCCCAGGCGGGCUACGGCCUGGCCGUCGCCGGCGCUCCUCUGAAGGGACGGUGUGCGCGAGCCCAGCCGUGGCUGGCUGGUGCCUCUGCCGCUGGGGCCCGGCCACUAGCAUUUUAGUUAGUCCCCCUAACCCCCCUGUUAAUUUGAUAGGUCUAUUAAUAUAAUUACCUAGAUAUUUUAACUGUUAGACACUGGCUGGUGGACCCCAUCUAGUUAACUAAAGUAAUAAAACCCUGUUAAAAUGUGUACCUAUGACACAUGGGUCCCACUGGCCCCAUUGACCAGUCAAACUGCUGACUGGGAUAACCCAGUCAAUGACAUGCGGGUCCCCUGGUCCCUUUGACUAGUCAAACAGUCUCAGUUGACUGCUGGCUGGCAGUCAACAGGACCCCACCUGUCAGCCCCUGAUGCAAACAGCUGGGUACACUUCAGUGUACCCGUAGCAAUUUAUUCAUUUAUUUUCGAAAUAAUGAUAUUCUAGAAAAUUACUAAAAAGUUUGAUAAAUCAUAUAAAAUAAACCGUAGCUCAGAUGAAAAUAAUUUUUAUAUAUAAGUUGCUCAGAAAAAUCGAACGAAUCCGAAUAUGCUAUCCGCAUAUCUGUCACAUGCCUCUAGCAUGCUGAACAUGGAACCGUCCCCCUCUUUUCAUUUGUCCGAAAAACGCCGAACGCCGUGGAAAACCCCUCCGGAUGUUUUCCCUCUCUGUCUGCAACGUGUAGUACUGCGUUAGGUCACCCCUAGCACCGCGAAUUGCCAUGUCUUGCUUUGUGAUGCUAUGUUUUCUUUAUAUUUAUUGUUUCUUCCCCCUCUUUUCUUCGGUAGACCCCGAGACCGAUGCCGCCCCUGUGAUCGACUACGUGGACAACGACACUUCUUCCUUUUCGGCAGAGCUUCCAGGCAAGCCCCCCCUUUGAUCAUCCCGAUAUCGCCCAUUCCAUUUUCUCAUGCUUGCAUUAGAUUUUGCUACUGUUAUUGUUUGCUCCUAUUCUGAUGCAUAGCCUGCUUUUGUAACCUGCUUAUUGUUACCUUACAUGCUUAUCCUAAACUGCUUAGUAUAUGUUGGUUAGUGAUCCAUCAGUGACCCCACCUUGUCCUUGUUGCCCCUGCUUCAUCAUCGAUGACUCGAUCAACGUGAUCGACGACCAGAGCCCGACACCUCACAUCACAUCACGCCCCUUUUGUUGCUCGACUCUACAGAGUUACCAUCGAGUGCCGAGGGUGGAACCUCAUACAUCACUCCUGAUGGGAUCUUUGUAGUGUAGCUAUUCGGUCGUGGUCAUCGAGGGUGAUUUCCUCCUUAACCACUUCCGAUACGACUCUGUCGUGCAACCCCUCAAGUGUGAACCUCGAGGGUGGUUCCUCUUACGUUCACCUUGAUGAUUACAUCGAGUGGAAUCCACCGAGGGUGGUUCCUCAGGGUUCCCCUUGGUGUUAGACACACAGUUACUAUGGUUACUAUGACUUUACACUGAACCAUGUUACUAAAGACGGGUCGGCCCUGAGGGGUACCCGCGCGAGCUUGAUUGCGAGUGAUGUGGAGUCGGGUUGACCUGGAAGGUGCCCGCGAGAUACUUAUGAGGCGUGGCCGGGCAUUCUUAGCCCUUGCCGCAAGUCCUAGAGAUGGGGCGAGGGGGUCACAUCGAUCGUGAGUCUCUACUCGUUACCGCGUGCUCCUAAUCCACUACGAUUUGGAUAUUUGAUCCGAGAGGCCUCUGGCUUGAUAGCACUAACCAUCACGUGGGCAUAGUAUGGGCGUUCUGCGUCGUAUGCAUUAGCCGAAGCUUAAUAGACGUCAUGCGACUGAGCGGCGCGCGCCGGGUUGGACUGGUAAGCACCUGCCUUUUUUAAGGAGGUAGCUAGGCCUGCUCACCGGCCGCGUACGCAACGUGCAGGAGUUCCCGAGGCGAUGGCCCAUGACCCCCGGGGGCAUAGGUUUAGUCCGGCGUGCUGACCUCUCUAUUAAGCCUAGGUCGGGUUGCGGCGUAUCGUUUGGCCGAGGCCGGGCAUGACCCGGGAAAGUGUGUCCGGUCAGAGUUAAUCGAGCAUGGUGGGUAAGUUGGUGCACCCCUGCAGGGAAGAAAACAUCUAUCCAUAGCCUGUCCUACGGUAACGGACACUUGGAGUUGUAUCCCGAUCGAUACAACUAGAAUUGGAUACUUGAGGUGAUAACUAGAUAGUAUGGCCCUGGGAUUACUUUCUCGCACGGAGUCGAGAAAGGAUCUCUGGCCGAGGUUGAUAACACUACUACUACUUUCACUACAGAAAUCAGCUAUUUUGCCGUCUGCCACGGCGGACGGCAAAGGCAUGAAUGGCGGAUGGCAAAGGCCUUUGCCGUCAGCCGCGGACGGCAAAAGGCUCCGGCAAAGUAGGCUACGGUAAACAGCUACUUUGCCGUCUGCUUUUGGCGGCUGACGGCAAAGGGACCUUUGCCAUCAGCAGCAGACGACAAAGAAAGCAGACGAACGGACUAACAGCGUAGCCUUUGCCGUCCGCCUCGUGAGUCACAGACAGCAAACAAAAGGGAUAAUAUUUAAAAAACACAACAACAAUGCUCCCGAGUGCUGCGGUCAACGCAUGCAAGUGCACUUCCCUAUCUUUCUUUUUAACAGGGAAAGGACAGGCCGUGCCUUAGUGCCUUUUGUUCAACAUUAGUGGAGUACAAAGUUCAAACAGGACCCCGAGAAAACUAAAGUUACAACAUAGUCCUGGAAAUUAACACAAAAGGCCCUAAAAAUUAAAACUGAAAGGCAAUCGAGUCCUUGCUCUCCACUGCAGUGCUCUGCCCGCCCCGUCGUCCAGCCCGACUAUGGUUGCGCCGCCGCCCGGCGCUUCUCGCUGCGCCACUGUCUGACCCUGCUCAGCCGCGCUUGGGAGCUGACUUGCUCCGGCGCGGGGGCGAGGGGGUGCACGCGAGGGAGGUCGGGGAUGGGAGGUGCGCGACCGGCGGAGCUCGCGAGGCGGGGCGCACGGCCGGCGGGUGAGGAGCUCGAGUGCGCACGGAGCUCGCGGUGCGGACGAGCUCAGGUGAGCUUCACGUGGCGCUGGCAAGGUGGCAGAACUUCACGUGGCACUGGCGAGGUGGCAGAGCUUCACGCGGCGACGACGACGGAGAUGCACACGGCGAGGCUGUUGGCCACGAUGGACAGGCGGUCGAGGGGCGCAGCGUCGGCCGGACGGAGGGGCGGGAGGGCGCUGACGCGGCGACGGAUGGACAGGCACGCGGGCGGUGGCCGCCCCGUGCGGCUGCUCGGGGACGAGCGUGCGUUGGGCUGAACCUGCGGCUGCUCGGGAGCGCCGGACAGGCAGGCGCGCGCGGCGUGCGUUGGCCCGCGGCAUGCGGCUGCUCGGGGGAGUAGGAGAGAGGUGGGACUAGCAGGAGAGAGGAGAGCGAUGACCGGCGGUGUGCUACUACUCUGGCAGAAGGAGAGGGGAAUCGUGGGUGGGGCUAUGCGUCGAUGGGGUUGUGCGUGGGCGCGCGUGCAUCAUGGGUCAGUGGGGGCAUGCGUCCGACGGCUGUGAGUGGGUGGGACGUGCGUCUAGGAUUUCGCCAAGUCAUCGAUCCGUGUGGUCUAUCCGCGUGGUGUGCUUCUUCUUUGCCGUCCGCCGAGGCUUUGUCGUCCGCUUUUCUUUAUCUUUGUCGUCUGCUAGCAGACGGCAAAGAGGGGGGCGUUAAGUUUUUCUAAUCAGCUCGUUACUGGAGGCCACCUCUCUCUUUGCCGUCAGCCAGCUGACGGCAAAGAACUGACAGAUGGCAAAGACCGAUUUUGCCGUCUGUCAGUUGUUUGUCGUCUGCUUUUUGAUGGCUGAUGGCAAAGACCUUCUUUGCCAUCUGCUAGCAGACGGCAAAGAACUGGCAGAUGGCAAAAUCCCUGAUUCCAGUAGUGUUUACUUUAUGCUACUCUUAUCUCUUCUGAUGCUGCAAGAUGCUUGGAGCUGCUUGAAGAUGCUAGUCUUCGAUAGGCUAGGCUUUCCCCUUCUCUUCUGGCAUUCUGCAGUUCAGUCCACAUAUACUACCCAUUUCAUUGACACCGAUGCAUAUGUAGUGUAGACCCUUGCUUGCGAGUACUUUGGAUGAGUACUCACGCUUGCUUUGCUCUCCCUUUUUCCCCCUUUUCCUUUCUUCUCGGAUGUCGCAACCAGACGGUGGAGCCCGGGAUCCAGACGCCACCUUCGACGACGACUGCUACUACACUGAGGGUGCCUACUACUACGUGGAUGCCGCCAACGACCACGAGUAGUUAGGAGGCUCCCAGGAAGGAGGCCUUGCCUUUUCGAUCGAUGUUGCUUUUGUGCUAGCCUUCUUAAGGCAGACUUGUCUAACCUAUGUCUGUACUCAGAUAUUGUUACUUCCGCUUACUCUUGUGUAUUCGAGCUUAUGUAUUCGAGCCCUCGAGGCCCCUGGCUUGUAAUAUAAAGCUUGUAUUAUUUUAAUUUGUGUCUAGAGUUGUGUUGUGAUAUCUUCCCGUGAGUCCUUGAUCUUGAUCGUACACAUUGGCAUGUAUGAUUAGUGUACGAUUGAAUCGGGGGCGUCACAGGGGGCGGGGAGAGUGUUUGUCGGGUCCGAUACCGGUUGCAUGCCAACCAUCGACGCACAACUAGGGGGGAGGGAAGAGUGUUUGUCGGGGCAUGUUUGUUUGUCAACCAUCUACUCGCAACUAAGGGUGUGUUGUUUUGUCAGGGCCCCCAGUUGCAAGCCACCCAUCAACUCGCAACUAAGGCCGUGUUUUGUUUUGUCAUGGUCCCCAGUUGCAUGUCAACCAUCAACUCGCAACUAAGGGCAUGUGUUUUCUUGUCGUGGUCCCUCGUUGCAACACAACUAUCGAGUCGCAACUAAGGGCGUGUUUGUCGGGGCUCCCAGAUGCAUGUCAACCAUCAACUCGCAACUAAGGGUGUGUGUGUUCUUUUUCGUGGUCCCCAGUUGCAAGUCAUCCAUCGACUUGUAACUAAGGGCGUGUGUGUUUGUUGUACGGGCCCGAGUUGCAAGUCAGCCAUCUACUCGCAAAUUAGGGUGUGUUUGUUUGUUGNNNNNNNNNNNNNNNNNNNNNNNNNNNNNNNNNNNNNNNNNNNNNNNNNNNNNNNNNNNNNNNNNNNNNNNNNNNNNNNNNNNNNNNNNNNNNNNNNNNNNNNNNNNNNNNNNNNNNNNNNNNNNNNNNNNNNNNNNNNNNNNNNNNNNNNNNNNNNNNNNNNNNNNNNNNNNNNNNNNNNNNNNNNNNNNNNNNNNNNNNNNNNNNNNNNNNNNNNNNNNNNNNNNNNNNNNNNNNNNNNNNNNNNNNNNNNNNNNNNNNNNNNNNNNNNNNNNNNNNNNNNNNNNNNNNNGUGUUUUCUUGUUGUGGUCCCCAGUUGCAACUCAACUAUCGACUCACAACUAAGGGCAUGUUUGUCGGGGCUCCCAGUUGCAUGUCAACUAUCAACUCACAACUAAGGGUGUGUGUGUGUUCUUUGUCGUGGUCCCCAGUUGUGAGUCAUCCAUCGAUUCACAACUAAGGGCAUGUGUGUUUGUUGUACGGGCCCGAGUUGCAGGUCAGACAUCGACUCGCAACUAAGGGUGUGUGUGUUUGUUGUACGGCCCCAGUUGCAUAUCAACCAUCGACUUGCAACUAAGGGCGUGUUUUGGUUGUUGUGGUCCCUAGUUGCAUGUCAACCAUCAACCCGCAACUAAGGGCGUGUGUGUUCUUUCACCGUGGUCCCGAGUUGCAAGUCACCCAUCAACUCGCAACUAAGGGCGUGUGUGUUCUUGUCGUGGUCCCUAGUUGCAACUCAACCAUCAACUCACAACUAAGGGUGUGUUUCUCAGGGGCCCAGUUGCAAGCCUACCAUUUAAUCGCAACUAAGGGCGCUUGUGUUCUUAUCCAAGUUGCGAGUCCACCCCCCCACUUCGAAAUUGGGGGUCCAAUAAUUUUGUGUCGGUUGCAAACCCAACCUCGGCCCACAAUUGUUGUUUUGUAGUUGUAGUUGUUCCAAUUUCAGGUCCAUGCUCGGCUGGCAACCGGGGGCUUUUCUUUUAGUUGUCGUUGGCACAAAUGCAAGUCCAACCUCGACUCGCAACUACGGCGCUUUUUUUGUAGUUGUAGUUUCCACAGUUGUAACUCCAACCUCGACUCGUAACUGGAAUUUUUUGUAUUUUGUAAUAGCCCCAGUUGCAAGUCUACCCUCGACUAGCAACUGAGCUUUUUGUAGUUUGUAUUUGUUCCAACUGCAAUUCCGUAAUCGGCUCGCAACUGGGCUUGUAAUUGUAGUUGCGCCAGUUGCAAGUCCAUCCUCAACUCGCAACUCAUCUUUGCUUGUGAAUCAACGGUGGGCUUGUGCGUUUUGUUCGUCGAAGAGCUUGAAUACAUAAACAUUUAUUUUGACUUUUGUGAACAUUUUUUGAAUUUGCAAACAUUUUUUUGAAAUCACGAACAUUAUUAAAACCCUGUACAUUUUUUGAAUACAUGAUUUUUUUUUCUGGUUUUUUACUAGUUUUUUUAUUUUAGAAAUGUUCCGCAUGCAAUUUAAAAUUGUUCAGUGUGUAUUCGUAAAAGGUUUACUGUGUAUAUUAAAAAAAGUUCACCAUACAAAAAUUCAUAAUAUAUUACAUUUUGUUCACUGUGUAUUUCAAAAAAUGUUCACCCUAUGAAAAAAACGUGUUCAGUGUGUAUUUGAAAAGAAAGAUGUUUGAGGACAGGGCAGUAGCCCAAUGGUUGGGAUCGCAGUGUUGUGGCAACAACCAGAGUUCGACUCUUGUGUGGAGCCCGUAUCUGGAAUUCUCGCUAAUGUCGCAUAAACAAAUAUUGAUCACAAAGAAAAGAUGUUCUCCAUAUAUUAAAAAAUGUUUAAUUUGUAUUUAAAAAAUGUUCAACAUAUAUUAGAAUAAUCUUUAUAAUACAAAAAGUAUAAAGAAUAAAAAAAUGGAAGAAAACUAGAAGAACAACUAAACCUGAAAGAGAAAAAUAAAAAUCAUAAAAAGGAAAAAAACAAAAGGAGAAAAACACAAAAUGUACUACUGCGUACGGCUAGGCUACCGGAGGUAGCGAUCGUACAGUUAGCGAGCAUGGAGGCGCGCUAGGCGUGGCCCUUGCAAGCAUGAUCUGGGUGACUGUCCUUUAGUCAUGCUGCAUGAUUCUAUAAAAAUAAUGUCACGCUGGGCUGGACAAAAAAGAGAACAACAAACAAAGAAAAGGCGACAAACAAACGAUGACAUCAGCUUAGAUGUGACAUAAUUAUGUCACAUCUAGAUGAGGCCGAGACACACCCUUCAAAAUUUACACACAUGUUAUGUAUCUAGGUUGAGAUGUUCUGAAUUCACCUAGCUUGAGGAGGGAUCUGGGCCGCCGUCUCCAGCGUUGGGGCUGCCGCUCUGUACACGAUUUGGGAUUGAACGACGAGGCCAUCGAGACCAAAUUAUCUUGUAUCGAAGGACCUUUUUGUAAAUUAUGCGGACAGAUCGCUCCACCUAAAUUUGGGCCAUCAGUCUUUCAACCAGUGGUCCAGAUCCAUUAUAUAUAUUUUUCUACCACAAGCAUGUUUUCUAGUGUAGUUGCUCCCAUCUAGGUAUGUAUGAAUUUGUUUUCAGAAUUUUUUGAAACUGAAAAAUUCAAAUUUUGAAGUUUUCAAAUUAAGACCUUUGUGGAGCUCGGUCUCCAUUUGGCAUUUUGGGAUAAUACUCCCCUUCUCUACUAGUAAUAGAUCGAUUUCAAAAAUUUGGGCUAAAAUAAAAUCGGUACUAAAAUAAAUAAAAAUUCUUCCAAAGGUUCCGUACAUGGGCACCGUUAAUUUCGGUUGCCAGCCGACCUGGCGCAGCGCAGCCUGCCACGAGUCCACGUCCAGCGACAGGCUUCGCUCCUGCUCCACCGCGCCGCCCCUUUCCCUCUCUCCUUCCUUGGCCAAUCCCCUGUGGCUACUGCCGCUGUAGCCGCGAACCAGACGCGAGACGCCGCCUGGACCCCCGUGGCCUCGUGCGCCCGCGGCCUGUUUGACGGAAUUUCCCUCCGGGCGCCUCGCGAGUGUACGUGGGCCUUGGAGCCAGCCAGCCAGGCCUGACGCGUACAUGUUCCCGCCCUUCUCUAGGCGGCACCGUGGAGCUGGCUGUUAGGGACGCCGUUCAGGUGCAGAGUUCUGGCUGGAGCCCAACGCCCACGUGGCAAGCUCCCUGAUUCUCACGGUGAGGAUACUAUCCAUGUUUUACACAAUGCUCCAGUGACAUUCAUCAGUGUUUCACUGCCAGCUUGAUUAACAAACGGUUUCUUUCUCAGCGUCUGCAGGGCUUCUCAUAGUGUGAUCCACUAUGGAUGCAUAAUCCACCUCCUUGGUCGAGCUGGGAAGCUAACAAAAGCAUUGGAGAGGAUAUCUGAAACGCAGAUGAGAUGAGACCCAGCUCUGCAAUUUGGGGGAUCCCUGCUAGCAGGCAGUCUGUAUGGGUCCCGGUAGUAGCGAGUUUUUCUCUGCUCCUCUGAGUGUUCUUAGCCAGAAUGUUAUUUUAAAAGAGGUACGACUCGAUUCUUAUAUUUUUAAGUCGAGAGGAAUAUGUCAAGUUUCAUUGAGGAAAGUCUUUCAGUAACGUUGAUUCUGACCGGAAGCUCAUAGUCAUCGACAUAACAUGUAGGAUGCAGAGCCAUGAUUUGAGCACAGAGGUUUCCUAAUGUAUGAAAAACUAUGUUAAUUGUCUGUAUCCAGACAAGAAUAUGUAAUGAAACAGACCAAGCAAGCAGUGGUUGGUUGUUCAAUGUAUAAGAAAUUAUAUUACUACUAUAUACAUUGAAUGGCCUAAUAUCGAAACAAGAAUUAUAAUGGUAAAGAUAAGUUGAAUGUCGGCAGAUCCACGAGGUAGUUUCCACAGUCGACUCGCUUAUUACCAUCUUGUAAAAGACCCUCGCCAAGAUGCACAACACAACGGUUGAGAUGCAAGGGAAUAAGGUGCUGCCAAUUAUCACAAUUUACCAACUGAUAUUCAUCNNNNNNNNNNNNNNNNNNNNNNNNNNNNNNNNNNNNNNNNNNNNNNNNNNNNNNNNNNNNNNNNNNNNNNNNNNNNNNNNNNNNNNNNNNNNNNNNNNNNNNNNNNNNNNNNNNNNNNNNNNNNNNNNNNNNNNNNNNNNNNNNNNNNNNNNNNNNNNNNNNNNNNNNNNNNNNNNNNNNNNNNNNNNNNNNNNNNNNNNNNNNNNNNNNNNNNNNNNNNNNNNNNNNNNNNNNNNNNNNNNNNNNNNNNNNNNNNNNNNNNNNNNNNNNNNNNNNNNNNNNNNNNNNNNNNNNNNNNNNNNNNNNNNNNNNNNNNNNNNNNNNGAGAAAUUAUGUGGAUUAUCAUUGGUUGUUAAGCUAUAAUUUUAAAGAUUGUCAAAGUUUAAGCAGAAAUUGUUCUUUUGGCCCCUCUCAACUCUGCUUUGCCUAAUAUCCAAACAAGAAUUAUAAUCGUAAAGAUAAUUUGAAUGUCGGCAUCUCAACAAGUAGCACUCCUCGAUCGACUGGCGUGUCACCUUCUUGUAGAAGACCGCCAAGACGCCAGUCACAUUCACGCGGUCCAUGUACAUCAGUAUCACAGCACACACGCAAAGGCGGAGCUAUGUUGAGGGUUUGUUUUGGGCCCUGAUAAGUGCUACAAGUGUGGCAUGAACACAUGACAACUCUUAACUUUUUUGUGGCAAGUUUAGUGAGGCGAGGAUGACAAUUUUAGCUGUCAAGCAUGACAACUUCUUUUUGGAUGGCAAGCUUUAGUUUUUUUGUCUGUUUCUUUUUUUUGGAUGGCAACUUUAGUUGUAAAAAACAUCAGAGCAGCAGUGUUUCAUGUCACACGUGUGGCACUUAUCAAUUGAUUUUUUUCUUUUCAAAUGUCAACUUUGAUUAUAUAAAAAAUUAAGACCGGAGUGGUUCGUGCCACACGAAGUCAUUCGCGUUCUCUUUUGCAAUCAACAAUCCAAUGAUAUAUCAACCAUGAUGACUCCAUGGUUGUGCCACGUGCUCGUUCGUGUAUGUCAAUCUCUCGGAUAGAGAGCAAUGCUACACCUUAUCUUACACAAUCUAUUAAUUGCACUAUUACUCACAGUCAAUCAAGGUCUUGAAUUUGAAAUUGAGUCAUUCGAUUGUGACCGGAUCAACAAUUCUUCAAGGAACUUGCUCAUUUAAACUUUUUUUAAUUCACUAUGCUCUCUAAUUUUGAAACUCUUCCACUAUAUUGAGAUAUUCAUUUUUGGAUUUGAUAUACAAUUUUGACCGGGUCAUCAAUUUUUCGAAUCAUCGUAUAAAAACAUAUCAAUCUCACACACCAGUUCAUCACCUAGAAAAAGGAAGCACUAUUCUGCCUGCACCUUCUAUUCUGAAACCGAGAGAGUAUUUCUUUUAAAAAUUGAAAGCUAGCACACCAAUGGCACAACAAAGCGUAUCCAACCCUUUUAGUUAACUUAACGGCUUAAGGGGCAUCUUUUGAUUGAAUGAAAUCAGGGAAGGGAGGCUCACCUUGUUGAAUUCAGGGGGGAUUUAGUGGUCAGGAUGGAAAGGUCCGUAGGUUUUGGAGAUCUUUCCUAGGUCUAGCAUUUUCAGAUCACGUUGACACCCUUUUUUUUUUCAAGAACGUAGGCUUAAAACUCGCCUGACUUUUUUUUUUGCGGGCAAGACUAGCCUAAUUUUGAAUUAAGAAAACAUCGGCCACUCAAGAAAAUACAACGACCAACCACGUGACACAUGUGGUAAGCAAUCCAAAUAAUUUAAAAACAAAAUACAACAACCAACACCAUAAAACGGAAAAAGGACGACAUACACAAAGUGCUGAACGAACAAAUACCUCCUUUUCAAUGUAAGUUUAUGCUUUUACGUGGUCAAUCAUCUAUCCUAUUAUGAUUGCUUUGGCUAUGUAGAAAUGACAUUAUUUUUAAUGACAAAAUCACUUAUUUUUCGUUGUACGCAUCAGUUUCGUAUGUGGAAUAUGCUAUAUAUUAAACAGAGUACUAACUGUUGUUCAAGGCCGUGUAUGCGACUGGAGCGGGUAGAAGGGGUUUUACCUAACAUGGGUGGCAGAAUAAUCACGGGAGCAGCCCACCUCCUCUGUCGACAUAGGCAUAGCGUCGGUCACAUAGGACUUUACUGAUUUUUUUUUCGAAAAGGAGGAUAACACCCGACCUCUGCAUCAGAACGAUGCAUGCGGCCAUCUUAUUAAAAGAUCCAAACAGAACAAAGUGCGUAGUUCAGUACAGCUCGCAAAAGGAGCAUAAAAAUGAAUGAAGGUAAACAAAGCCACAACCGGCGAAAAACAGGACAAGAUUACUAAACACUUACCCUAUUAUUGGACCGGCAUCCAAACCGGUUGUAGUUUGCCCGUGCUACUGUCUUCCAUCGGUUGUAUCCAGUAACCAAAAGCUCACUGGAGUCCGUAUGAGUGAGUAACGACCACGUACGGAUCCAUGUUGUAGUUUUGUGAAUAACCUGCAAAAGGUUUAUAAGAUUUUCUUGUUAAAUAUCAUAUCAUUUCUGUAGUUUCAUAUACCCAUAGUAGUGCACAUAUUCCUAUCCGAAUACGUCCCACAAUAACUGGUUCCACGCGAGUGAGCCAGGUCCCAAAUAACAUGUCAAUUCUGACUGGAGGGUUAAUAGUAAAGGCUAUAUGAAUCGUGCGCCAAAGAAGCUUCGCGAGAGGGCAAUCUAUAAAUAAUAGGUGUUGUAUUGUUUCAUCCUUGUCACAAAAACAACAGCGCGAACUGCCUACCCAUCUUCACUUUAGCAGAUUAUCUUUGGUUAGGAUCACUUCUUUGUGAGCGAACCACAUGAAGAUCUUAAUUCUUAACGGAACUUUUUUUUUGAAACGAGGCAAAAGAUUUGCCAUUUUCAUUGAUUAAGAAGAAGAGAGUUGCCCGGUUAAUUAGAGGAAAACCGGGCGAAAACCUAGAUACAAACCCCAAAGGGGCAAACGCGAACGACCUGGCCACAACAACGCCAAACAGUCGACCGCAGCGUCGAGGACAUGGCAGCUCCGAUUUUGCUGACGAGCUUCACACGAGAAAGUUGCUAGCCUUGCACCGACCUAGUCCAACGCAACAUCCGGAGAGCACCGCUUGCUGAAAACCGUCCUCAUGGAGUCAUCGUUGCCGCAGUGGCCCUGCCGACCGCAACUCCGACUUCUAUGUCACAGCCAGAAACCAGCAUGGGCACACCCAUUGACGCCUCGGACCUUCGACAUCAAAAGGACAAGCUGCGACUCAGCUCUGCUCACCACCAUCAUCGUUGCCACCGGCCGGGCACCUCCCGACCGCGAUGUCGUGCACGUCCAGCCUAUAGGAAGCACAAAAGGGACCAAGAUCUCCAAGACGGCGCCCCCAGGAGGGAAAACGACGUUGGAGACGACGCCGCCGUCUGAUCCAACCAGGAUCCUGACUUUCGCCCGGAGAUCUUGACCCGAGAGUUGAAGAGCACCAAUCACCACGAUGACGCCUCCAAGGAGGAAAGUGACGCACAUGAGCGCCGCCGCCGCCGACCAGCAAGCGCCGGUCAAGCUUUCGCCCGGAUCAGCAACACCACCACUCCCACGCGGUCAACCGACGCCAACCAGCACCUCCGCUGACCCGCGCACCCCAGCACAACAAUCGCGCCAUCGCCAUGCAAGGACCACCACCAGGCCUCGCCGCCGAGCCAAACGAGCCUCCCUCCACCAAGAACACCGCGGCCGCCUCGUGGCCCACGCGAACUCCACAGCUGCCAACACAUCAACCACCAUCCCGGGGCCGCCGCCCCGGAGACCAACAUCGCCACGCCAGGCCCAGGGACAAGAGGUCGCUCCACUGCGUUGCAGUCACCGCACCACGCGGAGACAAGACCGCAGCAGGAAACCACCGCUGUCCGCCCGAAUUCGACCACGCCCGGCCAGAUCAGGCAACGGCCAGCCCUCCCGUCGACCCCCAUCGCUCCACCAAGGCCCCGCGCAGCCACACCAAGCGGAGCCAGAGACAAAUCGGGGAGUCGCCAGCGCCGAGAUCCAGAGCUCCAAGCCCUCUCACACCGACCCGCUGCCAUGGGGGAGACCGGAGCGUCACCAGGCCCAGCCCCCGCGCCGCCCCCGCGGCCACAGCGGCCGCCCGUCCGCCGCCACGAAGCCGGGGCCGCCGCCCAAGAUCCAGCACUCCGACCGCGCCAUCACGGGCCGGGAGAGCCCCGCCGUCGCCGUCCGCUGCGCGGGCUUAGCCCGGCCGCGUCAUUCGGCGGCGGCGAGGGGGUGGAGGAGAGGAGGGGUGGUGGGUUGCGGCGGCGGGGUUGGUCUCCACCCGAGCCGCCCCGGGAGGCGACGCGGGGGACGGGAGGGUAUGUCAAAGGUCCCCAGUUUUAACGGAACUUUUAUCUUCCAAAUAUGAAUCGAUCUCGGGAUUGGGCCAGAAUUAAUUAGGUUCAGGUACAAAGAUCACCGUGAAGACGCCAUUCCUAGUUAACUUCCAGCGAAAGGAGUCCGGCCAUCAACCUUCGCACGAGAUGCAACCAUCCAACGCUCUCCCACUAGAGACCUCCUGAACUGGUUGUUUAAGGGAGCCGAUUGUAGUAUUGUAGCAACGUAAUCCUCAUUACAUUGUACAAUAUUAUAAAGUGUGGGGUAUUACAAGGCUAGAGGCAUCUCCCCUAAUCAUGUAUCUACCCAAAAUCUGGUUGUUGUGCCGUUUCCGACAACAAAUUUCGAUCUGCGAAAAAUACAUCCUUCGUCCUCAUUAGCCCCUUCCAAAAUGGCGAGUCAUUAGGUCUUAUGGUAAGCUGGGCUAAAGACUUAGAUGGAGGUAUUUAUUACGUAAAAUCUGUGCCCACAUACCAUCCGUCUCAACCGAUAACCUAUAAAGCCAUUUAUUCAGCAGACAUUUAUUUUUGAUUUCUAGGUUCUCAAUCCCAAGCCCCCUUGAUCUUUGGGUCUACAAAUAAUAUCCCACCUGGUCAAUCUGGCAAAGGUUAGACUUCUAUCGAUCUCAUUUUUUCUGGCAAAAUGAUGAAGUAUAGGACUUUACUGAUGCCCAUGUGUCAUUUUAUUUAUUUACUUUUUUCGUCGAACUUGUUCCUGUUGACUAUGUGCACUCUAUCUAUGAGGUCAUAUGUCGCUCAAUAUGGUUGUCUACUGGAUGCUACAUUUUAAGUUAAUAAAAGCACACUUUAUUAAAAAAAUACAAAGGGCUGACAAGCAACAGGAAGAACAUACAUAAACAAAAUGAAAGAGGAAAGUCCCGCUUGAUGUAGAAUUGCCCUGCACCGUGGACGGAGCAACAAAGUUGGGGUCAACAUGAUAUAAAUUGUAAAAAUAUAUACAGGUAUAUUUAAGCAAAUUAUGGUAGUAAAACAUCUCACUUUAAGACUUGGGAGAUAUCCCGGUCUCAAUUAUCAGUCCCCAAUUUUCACCUCUUAAUUUUGCUAUAUCUUGAUCGUAUAUAAUUCUGCACAUUAAUUAUCAGACCCAAUUUUCACCCCUUCGUCCAAAAUUACUUGUCGCAAAAAUGGGUAAAAAUAGAUGUAUUUAGAACUAAAAUACAUCUAGAUACAUCAUUUCUCUGACGAGUAUUUUUGGACGGAUGGAAUAUUUGUUUAAAUUUUCACUAGAUUUUGGUUUUGGGGUCUUUUGCCUAGAUUCCCUCGUUUCCCCAUAAAUACUUACGACAUUUACUUUAUGAAAACAGUUAUCUAUUUUACUCAUAGACAAUUUCAGUUUCUCCAAUAUUCUUAUAAAUAACUUCUUCAUAUUUUACAAAUUUAAUCAAGGAUUUGAUCCAAUCCCACUAAAAAACUAUUUUGUACCAACUCUUCAAAGUCCUUUCACCUUUCCUAGCUCCAGGGAAGAAUAAGCUCAGUCCUUACUCAGCCUGUCUGUUGCUGAGUUUGUUCACAGACAUCUUCCUUACUUGAGUAGAUUGCUAAAGAAAUCAAGAAGUCUAGUUGUAAGCCACUUGUGCAAUUCACAGUGGCAUCUGCAUCAAGCCGAGGAGCGCGAUAAACAAGAGACGGCCACAGACAUAAAGGCAAGCAGAUUACAAACUACAAUUUCAAUCCUUGCCAGUUUUAUUGCGCCUGGCUGGCUUGGACCAUUGCCAGUUUCAUUACCAAUGAUCAGCAGCUUCCUUCAUCAUGUCCCUAUGAUGUUUUAUCCAAGAAGAGCCCCUUCCUUGUAUAAAGCAAAUCACCAAAACCACCACGUGAUGCUCCAAGUUACUUAUUUGAAACAAGCAAAACAUCAAGCUGGCUGCAUAUGACAAGUCCAAAACAUCAAUAGCUUGACUGGAAAAUCUGCCAGGUAAAGCAAUUAAAGUAGAAUUGAAUUGCAAAAGCAAGCAGUUCUUUCAACAGGCAUAUCCUCUACUAGAGACGCCUCUCCUCAGCUUCAAUCCUUUCUUUACCCACUGGUUUAAGUAUUGCAAAAAUAGCACAUAUAACCCUAAGUGAACCAUUUACCAAAACCAAGAUGACGAUAUUACAUUCAAAGGAUUCCACAAUAAUGUUAUCUCUUAUAAGAAAGAAAUGGUAACCUGAUUGGAAAACUUGUUUCUCUCUUCCAGAGUUUUCAGAGUACCAUAUCUUUUGUCUUUCAUUUCUAAUAACUCUCAUGGCCUGGGAAGAUUAUAUAUCAGGCACUUUGAUUAAUUAAUUAAUAGCAGUUCAAUUCAAGUUGUUCCAGACUCCGUGACCAAUCAGACUCAAUAUUAAGCUGGGAAAAAAAAAUUAAGCGAUUCAAGCAGGGACUUGAAUGCAUUCUUUGCUUCCUACAGUUUGAUUUUUUUUAAGGAAUAUAAGCUGCAUUCACAAAAGUAAAUGAGUUUCUCAUUCCUAAUUAACUUCUGUAGUAGGAUGAACAAGUGCCACUUACCUCAGACAUUGUUCACACUGUAAAGUGCAGAGAAAGAAUUAGAUCACUGGGCAAUAUUGGUAUUGUGGGGUUCAAAGAUAUUUCUAUUCACAUAGUUUAUACCUCUUAAAAGAAGUUGGUCUCAGAUGUAUAUCCAAAUCUGAGAUUUUGCUAUUCUUUUGUUCUACAUGCUGGAUAUCUACUUCAGGAUCACCUUUUAUGAUAUUUUUUCACCAUUGGACAUGCGAAAUAAGAUGUAUAAAAAUUCAUAUGCAAAAAUGUGAGUGGGAUAUACGUCUGAAUCAACCUAUCAGUCUCUACUUCAGUAUGCAGGUUUAUGUUUGGAACUAAAAGACCAUUUCUUCGUUUCCUCCAUAACUUAUGCAGAUAGAGUGUUCAUAUGCCUCAUGCAUAUCCUUUUCCAGCUAAAACAUUCUUGCUUUUAUUAAGAGAUAUCAUUCUUUUCCCUCUAGUGUAUUAAAGGUACAUCUGUUACUAAUUAAAAUUUAAAUGACCAGUGUCUAGACUGUAGGUAUAUACUGUACCAAGGAAACAACAUAACUAAGACAAGAGGCACGCAGUAACAAAUCAACCUACUGGUGUAUGACUAGCUUGAACAUUUCUUUAUUAAUUCUGUUUUGUUUUACAAUUGCUUGCCGAAGUUAAAUUUUAUUGUCUUCUGCCUGUAUGUAAUUCAGGAAGCAAAUUCCCAGAAUAAUUAUUGGGCUUACACCAUACUACCUCUUAUGCUUUAGAAAAAAAUGACUGAUUAUUAUCUAAGCUGCAUGUUUAGUUAAAUAUUAAAAGCUAAACUGUACCAUAUACUACUAAUACAUGCACCAUGUAAACAAAAGUUAUCCUAUGACCAUUUGGUUGUUGUGCUGAGUCUAAAAAAAAUACAAACGCGGCAGGUAACAAACUUGGUCUUAUUUUCAGAUUAAAAAAAUGUAAAGAGCACUUUAUAUGUCCUGAAAGCGAAUAGUACUGGCUUACCUCAUUGGUCCUCCAAAUCAAAUUUCACCAUUUUGUCAGCUGCCAACUUUUGGAGUUGCUCAGCACCAUGAUCCACUUAGUGCUUGGCAACUCAUGCUCCUCCAGUCCUCCCCAUCAAAUUCACCUUUUUGUCAGCGGCCAAUUCAUUAGUACGAACACCAACCACCCUCGUAAGAACCAUUGUCUGUAAUGCAAUAAGCAAACAGUCAUCGGUGCACUGCAUUGGUUACAUAAAUCAGCAGGAAAAUCAUUUAGCUUCAUUUCAGACUUGCAAAGGCUGCUCCUACAGAAACAUGUGAAAGUACCUCAUUUCUCAUUCCUGAGAUAAUGUCUUUGCUGCUUGCAUACUAAUGCGUUGAUUGAUGUCAGCUUACAGCUUAGGACUUUGAACAGAAACCAGAGAAUUGAUAGAUGAAGUUAGAGAUCUUCCGGGGUUUCUCAAAUUCCAUCUCUGGGUCAGUGACAGGAAUAAACGUAGGACAGCCAUGUAACACAUCAGUAACAGUGGUUCAACACAACCUCCACCAUUAGAAGCAUAUUCAGUGUAUACUUGCAAUACAAUUGAUUAAAUGAUUGCUUAGUUCUCCUGUGGGAACAACAGGAACAACAUUUUGAUAUUGGAAGUUGGAACUGCCUCUUCAGUGCAUUGAUCCUGCAAAAGUAUGUGAAAACUUGAGUCACCAUUAUGAUCAUAACAGCUUAUAACAUGGCAUGUCAUAUAUAAGAUAACAGGGAAGAGUUUCCCACCAGCUAAGCACAGCAGGCAGCAGCUUCAUUUACACACUUCCAUCUUGUCUCAGAGAUAAAAGCAACAGCAGAGGAUAUUUUUAUACUGCACAGCAGGUGCUCUGUAUUCUCAUUUAAGAUUCGAAAUGUACAAGGGGGUACUAAAGGAAAAACAAAAUCCAGUCGCAAAACAGGGCUAUGAUGUGGUGAAAGGACCCUCCAGCAAAUGGAAGUGAACUUCGAUGAGGUUAGCAACAUCUAGUUGAGGAUGAAAUCCUGGAGCGCAGUCGAUCAGGUUACAUACAGACACCACAACAACAUUAUUGACCUGACAGAGGGGAAGUCCAGGUGAUAUAAGUUUGCAGCUAGGAAAGCAGCGAUGCAGUUAAUGAGGUUUGGGUGUUUUUAUUUCUCCACAAACAGCUCAUCAUGCAUGUUUCUUGACCUGUGGUAUGACAACUGAUGAGCUGAUGGAGUUAUCGGAAUCAGAGUCGAGAUAUGGAUGCAUGGUUCUAGAAUAGGGAAACAAUAUUGGCAUAAAUAUUUAUUCCUCUGUUAUCUGAGUUUUCAUGAGCAGAACUCUUUUUUUAGUUGGAGCAGAACAUUUUUUUAGCUUAUCCUUGUAACCAGAGAAACACGUAUCCUUCACCCAUUCCACAAGAAUAAAUAUGAGUAAUUCUCUUUGCCGAUGCCUAUGGUACUAACAAGUAUGCAAGAUCGAGAGCACCUAUUCCCUGAACAUGUAUUUUUUUUCCCUAAGCAAUCUAUUUAACCGGGAACAAUAUGUAGCAAUAAUGACCCAAAGUAGAACAUGGUCAUUACACGAGCAAGCAAAACAUUUAAAUUUGAAAGCAUACCAUUUCCAUGGAUAAGUGGCUUGCAGCCUCGGUAUCGAGCUCUGAGAGAGAAAGGGUUCCACACUGAGUAUGACAUGAAGCAACUCAUCCGCAGGCCGCAGCUCCAAGCCAAACUUCAACUUGGGAUAAAACAUCAUCGGAGUUCUCCUUGGGGAGUGGGUCCGCCUUAUCGGGAGUCUAAUCUCUCCUCAUGCAUGUGCGAUUAGCUGUUGCACAGCUCCGAAUCAUUCGUCCCACACGACCUAUUGGAGAGNNN
rnacentral:lncRNA from 1 species